rnacentral:lncRNA from 1 species
CUUCUCGUUAGUGACGCGUCUUGUUCCUAGGACAUGGGCAAAAACUUAGCAGCGACGCGCUUCGUUCAGCUGCGUCACUAAUAUACUUAUUAGUGACGUGUUUUAGUCCUGAGUCACUAUUGAGGUGUCUCCUUUGUGCUUAGUGAACCAAGAAGCUAACAAACUAAUGUUAAGAUCUCUAAGGUUAGGUAGGCCCAAACCCCCCUCUCUUUACUCAUAGACACUAGCUCCCAAUUAGCUAGGUGAUACUUAUGAUUAUCCACAGAAUCAUUCCAGAGGUAGUUUCUCAUAUGAGUAUCAAUGAACUUGAUUGCCCAUUUGGGGAAUUUGAUAAAGGAUAGAAGGUAGACAGGAAUACUUGCUAAGCAUGACUUGAUUAACAUAGCUCUAGCAGCUAAGGAAAUAAGUCUCCCCAUCCACCCUGCUAUCUUCUUUAGAAUCUUGUCUACCAAAGGUUGGACAUCUUCUCUACUCAGAUUGUCAUAAUGUAGGGGUAAACCUAGAUACUUAAUCGUGAAGGAUCCUAGAGGGCAAGAGAAAAAAUGUGCUAGUCUAUGAGCUUCACUGUCCUCCAAAUUUAAAGGCACUAGCUCACUUUUAUGAAAGUUGAUUCUCAUACCAGAAAUCUGUUCAUAGCAUAUUAAAACACACUUCAAAUUUCUUAAGGCUGAAUCCCCGGUCUUAUAAAACACAAUAGUGUCAUCAAAACUACUACACCACCGGGUCUGAAAUCCUCUAAGAGACCUCUCACAAGAUUUUUUACCUAUUUCCUUACUUAACAUCUUUGACAACCCAUCUCCAACUAGAUUAAAUAAGAAAGGAGAUAGGGGAUCUCCUCGUCUAAGACCUUUGCCAGUCUUGAAAUAAGAAUUGUCUUCCGCAAUUAUCAUGAUCCCAAUAGAACCCCUACAACAAUCUGCCUAAUCCAGUUAGGGGAUGCUUAGUUCCCCAUAAAAUGCAAAAUGCAAAAUCCUGAAACUUGAAUGGUGGAAUACAAAAUGCCAAAAUUUUUCAGGGGGUGUUUAGUUCCAUCCAUACCAAAAUGCCAAAAAGUAAAAAGCUUGUUUUGUCCUCAUUAAUUGGCACCCAUGCAUUGCAUGCAAACAUGCUGCACGCGCUGCAUGCUGGCAGAAGCUUUGCAGCAAACAAUACAAGCGUUGUCUGCUGCUUGCUCGCGAUUGUGCAACCGGAAGUGAACAAGCACGGGCGGGUGCAGGUGGGGUAGCGAAGGAGCUGCUUUCUGGCCUUUUUUGGGCUGCUGAGGCCAAAAUCCAGAAUGCAAAAUGGUUGCCAUUUUGCCAAAUUUUUUGAGUGGUGUUUAGUUCUAUUAUGGAAAAUAGUGGGCCAAAAUCCAGAAAUUUUUGGCCCAAAUGGGGAACUAAACACCCCCUUAAUCAAUUUAGCAUCAAAGUUCCUAGACUAACAUCUCAAACAAAAAAAAAGUCCAGCUCACCCUAUCAUAUGCCUUUUCAUAAUCUAAUUUGAGAACAACUCCUUUCUCUCGAGAUUUAUUGACACUAUGAACAAUUUCAUGUGCUACAACUACGCUUUCAAGAAUAUAUCUACCUUUAAUGAAGGCAGAUUGAGUCGUAGCCACCAUUCUUUGAACUAAACUGGUCAGCCUAAGGGUGAGAAUUUUUGAGAAAAAUUGAAAGCAGCCUCACUUUAACCUUCCAUGGUAACACAUGGACGACAGAACCAAGCUUAACCGGUAGAAGAGGGUUUCUUUACCAAGGAAGCAACUCAAAAGUCUGAACCGAAUCGAUUUUCACAAUUUCACUGCAAGAACUUCAGUUAAACGUCUCGACUUUACAUAACCCAGCAAGUGGGCCAUCAUCUCAGGGCACCUGGAUGAAUAGAUGGAUGGAUCCAUGGAUAUAUAUAUAUGUCUGCCGCACUUUAUACAUAUAUAUAAAGUUGGUCACUUCCUAGCAGCUACCUAGUUUCCAAAAUCAUCUCAGCAGCCACCAGCAACUUAAGGAUAGUCAUCUACCUUCUACUACUUAUAUAUACACAGCGCGCUUUCGUCAUCAUACUGUAUGCUAUGGAUCUCCAUCCGCGGGUUUCUCCUCCAGCAGCUUGGUGCUGCAGGAAUGCCCUUUGCUGCGGUUCAGUAUCGAUUCUCUAAUCUCUUUGUACUUGUUCAGCUCCUCCAGCGCAUCCGCCGCUGUCCUUGACCUCAGAAGAACGGAAGGCACCCCUGUAGAGCUUGAUGCACUGCUGCCAUGUUCCUCGGUCACUACCCUCUGGAGUGAAGGUUCUUGAGGAACCGGGGCACUAGGGCCUGGCAGUAGUAGCCUUUCCCUGAGGCCAGGGGCAUUCUGUAGGAUGCGCAUAAGAAUACCAAUUGCUGCAUCUGGAGACCUCGUUAAUGAGCCUCCUUCCUGAGAUGGUCCUUGGUCAUCCCUGUCAGAUAUGUCGAUCCUGGAAAAUAGAUGAAGCUCUACAUUAGCUUAUGUCAAAUCAAGAAGUGCAUGCAAAUUAACAAGCACCAAAAAAGUAAAAUGUCAAGAAGAGGUUGCAAAACUGAGGUUGCAAAACUAUUAGAAAUGUUUUGACUGAUCCCACUGUGACCUCACCCAAGAAUAUAAUGGCAAGUGCCUUCAAAAAAAAGAAUAUAAUGGCAAGUCCUGCACAGUCACUAUAUCUAUCCUUGUUAAGGGAUAAACCUGUUAGUGACAAGACUGACCACUAAGCCCCUUAUAUUUAUCUUUAUUAGAUUAACAUGAGACUCCAAUUAUGUCCAUAACUUUAGACCUCAGUAUGACAGGAUUAACCUGUGAUAAUAGAAUACGCUGUACAUUCUACAACCCUCUUGCUUAACUAAACAUCUUAAUUGCUGCUACUAGUAGUUAAUGUAUAGUAAUAUAAGAAACAAUAAGGGAUGUUUAUCUUGCACAAAAGAAACGCUAACUUUAGAUAAAUUAGCCCACUGCCUGCAAUUUGACCCACAAAUUUACAUUCAUAGUCACAGACCAAAAAUUAUAAGGAAUAUUAGGAAAGCUGCAAAGUGGCCACCAUGUGGCUGUGGUAGAAAUGAUAUCUAGCCCCUGUAUUGUGUAGUUCGAAAAAAAAAGGAUACUAAGAUUUUCAACUGUCAUUUCUAAUUUGUAAAUAACAAAGAGGCAGUAAGACUUCAGUCUGGAGCAUGCAAAUGACAUGGGUACUACAAGUCUAAAACUUCAGUCUGUAGUUUUUAAAUGACACAGGGGCACUAAGGCUUGAGUUUGUAGUUUGUAAAUGACACAAGGGUACUACUAAUAACUCUUCUGUGUAGUUUGUACUUUGUAUAAAUACCAUAGGACUACACAAGCAGUACAAGACUUUUUAGCCAAUAGGUUUAUCCACAAAUUCCCGUAUUACUUUAUCUACAAAACAUUGUUAUAGAAGGUGGCCAACACCCAGCUAACCUGCUUAGCACCCGCAAGCACAAUACCGUACUUUCCUCGUAGCCAACGUAGGUGCCCACUUUGCAGCAACUAGGCGUGCCCUAUCACCUACCACUGGUACUGAACUAUUGAACAUUUUCAUUUUUGUGGAUGUAAGUAACGGCAUGCAUGAUAUUUCUACUAAGAGAGCAUGUCUAGAUGUUGGAUGGUAAAUCCUAGUGACUAGUGAACAUCACUAAUUUCUUCCUAAAACUGCCUUGUUCCCCACUGGUACAACUGAUGCAUAGGCAAUACCAAAUUUAAGCAAAGAAAAGCCAGAUUCAAACCAAGGCUGAAACAGAGAUCAGCAGUAUAUAACCAGACUUGUUUUACUGGGAGUCUGGGACUGGGUUCUCCAUUUCCAGGGCUUGCUCUAUACCUGAACCUCAUAAUGCCUAACCCAUAUACACUUUUGUGUUCAGAACCAAGCUAACGACACCCAAAAGUACAUUGGUUUUUCCCAAAAGCUAUACAAGCUACCAACAAAUGUUUUUGUCUAUCCUCUGCCCUCCUGGAUGUCUAAGGGGUUCAGCUCCUCCCAUGUCCCAUGUAAUGUUUCUCACACGACACCCAAGCCUCUCCAGUCUCCAUGUUUUAGAAAUGUUUCUCAAUACAUUAAAAGAAUAUAUGGCAUAUUUCAUGCCUCUAUGUUUGCAAGGUCACACUUAAUCUAAAUGAUGAAAAGUAUUGCCGGAAAAAUUUAAUGCAACACAUAGUAAGCCCCAUCAGUCAACACAACAGAGACAACUGAGCAAGCACAAAAACUAAGGAACCACAGAAAGUAAUAGAAUAAAGGGAGAAAAGGUGAUAUCAUUACAUCUCCAGUAGGUGCUUCAUUUGAAGAACUGGACAACAACACUCUUUAUUUAUCUAGUAGAAGAGGAUGGUUUCAUUUGAAAUAAGGGCAAAACCCAAUCAUCAAAUGUCUAGUGAUAUAGAAAUGUCUGAACUAUAAAUGUUGCAGGCAACCAACAAGCUAACUUGAUAAUAGAGAGAAUAAUAGGUUCUCAAAAGUAAAUCACUCCAACAUAAAACCAUGAUUAGAAAAUGAAAUGCUUAUAAACAGAAACAAUAAUUAAAUCUAACCUAAUGUAUUCUUAACUAGUAUGAUGCACAGAACUAUUCUGACUCAUAAUAUAUAUAGAUACACCUAAUAGGCUAAUACAUAUGUUGCUUCCAACACCCAAACGAAUUCUGCAAAUAGACAAUGGUGCCCUUUUAGUGGGAAAAAAUACUUAUAGAAAGGGAAAAUUUGAUAACUGGACCAAAUACAAAAGCAGAUGGAUCUGAAUGAUCACUGAAACUACACUACAGUAUAGGCAAAAAGGUAGAGAAGCCCAAUCAAGCGACCUGAACUAAUUAAGAUGUUUCUUGUCAUCCCAAUGAAUGCCCUGCUUUCAAUUUAUCAUCUCAAGAAACUAAAACACAAAAAAUGCCAUUGCUCUAUAUCUGCUAGAUGAAAAUAAUCCAGUUUCCCCUAUAGAAAUGUAAAAUCCUAUAACAUGUUAUAUAAAUAUGAAGACUUCUGCUAACAUUAUUGCUUCAAAGGCCUUCUGAAAGCAAAGAUGGUUCAUGACAAAAUUACCUAAGCUAUGUACAUCAGUGGCCACCUGGUGAAUACAAUAACCAAUGUCAUAGCAUUCCCAGAGUAAAAGUAGUGUUAUGACCUACUAAACAAAAAUAUAUGACCUACUAACCAAAAAUAUAAGUUUUCAAACUUUAUCAGACACCUAGGUCAUUUAUUUACACAGAAAAAGCACAUGCAUUCAUGAGGAUAUGAAUGUAAGGGGAUCAAACAUAAACCAAAUGCAAUACAACAGCAGAACAGCAAUUGAAGUGAUGGGUAGCUACUAGGUUAGUCCUUUUGACCAAGGCAUCAUGGCAUAAUGUCAUGAACUACACAUAUUUUCAUCAAGUGAGACAGAAAAGAGAACCUUCUAAGCUGAUCAAUGAUGGUGUCUUUAUCUUCCCAUGCAAAAACUAACUCCCGUUCAUCCAGUUCAUCCAUGAUGAAAAGUUUACUGGAGGUACGAGUCAACUUUAGCCCACGAAAAUACACCAAAUCAUCAUUGCCAAAAGAUAAAACCUGCAGCAAGAAGCAGAACCAGAAAUUCAUAAGUCAGAAAUGAGAUCCAACCAUCCAAGAGAAGAACCUCAUAGUAAAAGAAAGAAUAGUAUUCCUCAAGGUUCACAUUUUGCUGGAGAAGAUCAACAAACAAACAUGUAAUUACCUUUUGCAAAGACUUCUCAUUCUGAAACUCACUAAGCUUGACCAAAUCCUUUGAUACUAUUGAUUUAUCAUUUGGAGAAUGUGUCAGAUUCUCAUUUUGAGAUGAGCAUUGUUGCUUAUCCUUCCUACGUGGAGAAGGAGGCAGCCUGCUACCACCUCCACCAGCCAUCGCUGUGGGAAUACUUAAAGGAGCACUCUCAUAUCGGAAGAAAGGAUUUCUUGGGUAGCUAGAAGGCGAAUGGGAUGGUGAUGGCGACAGAGGUGGUGAUGGAUAGCACUCUUCAUUUACUGUAUUUCUCUUCUUCCCAGACGAUGAUGUGUUAUGUGGAUGUGAGUAUGCUGUCGGAGAAUUAUCGGUCGGCAUACGUGGCUCUAGGCGUCCAUGGGGUUCUGAACUCAUCGGAAAUGGCGAUACCGAUGUUCUAACUCCAUGCCCGGUGCUCCAACUGUGCCGCCUGGUCACUGGAAAACAUGCAGGUGCAAUGCCAUCUGAAGGCAGGGAAUCGAGCUUCCUAAGAAAAUCUGUUGUGGGGCUUCCAACAUAAUCCUUUAUAAGCUCAGGUGGCACCGGUGUGGGUUGCUCUGGUACUGCAGCCAACUCCAGCACUGGCACAUACGAAACAGACAAGCUUAAGGAACCAAACAGAGUUUCAAUCGGAGCAAAUGCAUAGUGUUUCAUCUCUGCAUCCUCAGCGCGGGUGAAUGGCUCAACAAAUGAUGAAAUCUUGUGCGAGAGGCUCAGCGGACAGAUCCUUCCAGACGAAUUGAGCCCCUGGAAGAGAUGGUAUGCUGGCAAGAGCCUGACAACCAGGUACAAUGACCGGAACAACACUGUGGAGCCGCUGUAUGCCCUCCUGUACAAGCUAUGAUCCUGAGAAGAGCUGCUUCUAGCUUUCUUGCCACUGUUCUUGAUAGCAUUGCCAGACCUGCUAGUUUCAUACUUUAUUACCCACCUCUCAAUGAUCCUGCUGGCCCCGACACUGGCGGUUCUGGUAUUGUCACGUUGCACAAGGACAAUGUCAAUGACCAGAAGCUCGAGGUUGCUCUGCCUCCACAGGUCGAAAUUCUCGAGCGCAGCAGGGCAGUCCCGGAGAGCAAGGUUGAACCACCGGUCCCGCGGCUGGCUUCCAGCCAGCGGCGACGAUGGCGGGGAGGGCCGAGUGAAGUUCCGCGACGAAUCAUAGGGCGAGCGUGACUCCAGGAUGAUGUGCAGGCUCUUGGCGAAGAAUUCGGUGAUCACUUGCUCCACCAUCGGCGGUUCCGACACGCCGCCAGCAGCGGCGGCGGCGGCGGCAGCCAUGGCUGUGUGGCUGUCCAGACUUAAAACUCAAGGGCUCAAUUGAAGUCCCAAAACUCCUGAAAAACGAACUGCGCCAGCACCAUGGCUAAAUCGAUCUUGCUCCUCAACCGUAAAGAACAACCUAAUCGGGCUGCUGCAAGUGGAUGGAUGGACUGAAUCAGUAGCAGGGGCGGACCCAGUAAAGGACAUGGGUGUACACAUGUACACCCAAUAAUUUUUGCAAAGCAAUCGAAGUUAGUAGGCAUAUACACCUGUAAUUAGAUUCAGAUCGGAUUACAAAUAGUAUGUUAGGGUUUGGGCGCACGAUUUCUUUUACCUAUGAAUUACAUUAAGGUUUGGGCGCACGAUUUAGCACAGCAGGAAGGGAAGGGAGGACCAACCGACCAAGGGGAGGGAAUACCUAGUGUUCUGGUUGUGCUCGUCGCGGGGCAAACUGGCCAGUGGCGAAGUAGGACAGCAGCGACGGUCGCAGGGACACCGGGGGCGGCAGAGGGCGGACGUCGUGCCGGAGAUGGUCGCGAGGAUGCUGGGCCCCAGCCCCAGGUGGUGCUCGACUGAGCGCAGUCUCCUCCGGCCUCCGGGUUGCGGCGCGGCGCGGCGAGCGGAUGAGGAGAAUAGGCCGCGGCCGCGGGCGAGACGACUCCAGGCGGUGGGCCAAGGGGCGUGCGGGCAAGGGCAAUUUAGUCCAGCUUACCUUCUUGUGGCCAACUUCACGUGCGUCGGUCGUGCCGUCACAUUACAGAGAGAAAAGAUAGAAGGGAAAGAAGAUAUAAUUUAGGCUCUGUUGAAGAAAAAAAAGUUUUGUGUGUUACAUCCAAUGUGUUGGAAGGAUGUCAGAAGAAGUUUUAGAAACUAAUAAAAAACAAAUUACAUAGCUCGUCGGGAGACGACAAGACAAAUCUAUUAAGCAUAGGUGUCACAUCGGAUGUGUCGGAAGGAUGUCGGGAGAAGUUUUUAGAAACUCAAAUUACAUAGCUCGUCGGGAGACAACAUGACAAAUCUAUUAAGCAUAAUUAAUCUGUCAUUAGCACAUAUGGGUUACUGUAGCACGGCUAAUCAUAACUAACUAGGUUUAAAAGAUUCGUCUCGCAAUUUUCAACCAAAUUGUAUAAUUAGUUUAUUUUUUUAUCUACAUUUAAUAUUUCAUGCAUGUGUCCAAAGAUUCGAUGGGAUGGAUGGAAAUUUUUAGGUGGGGAACUAAGCAGGGUCUUAGAUUAAAAAUUAUGAAAUUUUGGAAAUGUGUGAAAUUAUAUUAAUAUGUUUUUAAUAUAUCCUAAAUAGUAAUGAUAUAUCUUUCCAAAUCGUGAUAUUUUAAAUGAUAUGUAUUUAAUUAUAACCUUAAAAAUGCUAUGUGGUAUACAUAGGUGAUCCACCUAGACAUUCUUCAAUGUCUUAUACAUCAACAUAUAUGAUUAUCUUAUUGAAUAAAUAAAAAUAAAAAAGUAUGGACUUAAUGUUAUAUAGAAAUAGAAAUGUUAGACCUAGUCCACCUUACAUAUUGCACCUUAUCUUCCUUAACAUAAGUCAACACUUCAUCUAACCUUAUCCAUCCACCCCUACAGUGUCUCCUCUUGUCCACGCCUCUCACCUGUCGACGCUGCCUCUAUCUCCUUCAGGCUACGAUUGUCGCCUAUGCAACCUCGUGCCCAUCGUCUCUGCCCAUCCUCCUCUCAUCAUCCGCUUGCUGCCUUCAGUUGCACCCAUAGCACGCCUUUCUUCUAGCCGAGUCUGCCGCUAGCCUCCUCCAGGAGGCGAUUAUCGCCUCUACUGCCACCUGUCGUCCCUUCCUCAAGCAACACGGCCUUGAAACUGGGGCACCCCGAUUAUUCUCCGUCCACCCCCUUAGGCAAGAUAGUGUCCCUUCGACUAGCGCAUAAGCAUGCCUAGGCGAGCACCCUAUGGAACAUUAGGACAAGCUCGACCACGAGGGGAGAAGAGGCAGCCGCCACCCUCUGCGAAUAGAUUGAGAGUAGGAAGAAUCGACUAAGGAGAAAGAAAACAGAAAGUAGAAAGACUAUAGGCCGAUAGAUGGAUCCACAUGUCAAGUGUGACAUCUCAUGUUUUUGUUAACAAAUUUCAGGAGCAUCAUGUGUAUCAAAGGAGUGACGUUGAUAUAAAAAAUAUAGGAGAUGAAGGAAGUACAAAACUUCUCACUAUGGUAGGAGGCCAAGAUGGCAAAACAUAAAAGAUUAAAUGCCAGUGCAAAAGAUAUCAAUGUAUAUUUUUGAAACUUUCUAGAUAAAUAUUGAGUAUACAUGAGACAUGUUUGUCAUGUUUCUUCGCAAAAACUAGGAUACUUUAGAUCUAGAUAUUCUUAUAUGAUAAAAAUAUCGAAGAAAUAUAUAAAUAUUAAAAUAUAUUUAAAAAUAUAUAUUUGUAAUAUCAUAGUAACCAUGAGCAGGUAUAAAUAGACGCGUCCAUUGAUGUGUUUCAUUCACAUCUAUAACAAACGACCAUAAAUAAUAGAGUCAUAAGGACAGCUUCAUUCAAGCCCCUACUUAAGAUCGCGUAUCAUUUUAAGAGCUCAAAUACAUGAAAAUCCUCUCAUACCGACCCUAUUCAUCCCUCAAUGGACGAGAACCUCUCACUUCUCUCUUCUAGAUUCUUAGAUGUAGGAUCUUUUUAUGUUUUUUUUAUUCCUCAUUUCUUUUUUCACGUAAAGUUGAACAAAGUUCAAUAUUAAGUAGGAGAAAUUUAAGAAGUCAGUUAAAGUGCACUAAAAAUAGGGGAUGUAAAUUCGAAAACUGUUAAUAAUGUCUUAUACAUUGUUGUUAAUAUUUAUUUAUUAUACAUAGUCAUAAGAUUUGUUAAAAAAUUAUGUACACUCAAUGUUACAAAACUGCGUCCGCCAUUGAUUAGUAGCACUCCAGAAAACAACCUGGUGUACUGGGUUCUCGUGGCCGGCAACGAAGACCUAGGCAGCUGGGCGGCCGCCGCCGCCCUAGUUAUCGUGCUCGCGCACCGCGAGGUGUAAUGGAGAAGAGAAACAACAAGCAGUUGGGAAAGGAAAUUCUUUUCGGGGGUUGUUCCUUGCUUCUCUGCGACGGCGCGCUACUGGGCCGAUUCCUCUUUCUCUUUCUGUAGGUGCACGCUCGUUCAUCCGAGAAAGAGGCCCAUGGAACUCGUUCAUGAGAGAAAGCGGCUCAUUAGAGCAUCUCCAACGGUUUGCCAUUCUAGUUUGGCAUUUGUGUUAUUUGGCAAAAAAGUAAAAAUUACUCCUCCAACGGUUUUGCAAAUGGGUUUGCCAUUUUAGUAAACUUGGCAUUUGAGAGGCUCCCCUUGGCAUAUUUUGGCAUAUUUGGGAGUUGGCUUUUGGAUUGGCAAAUGCUUGCGGCCGGUUUUCCUACGUCAAUUCCGUGCGCGGCCUGGUCUGUUUGGCGUCGUUUCCUUUGUCGGAGGGAGUCCUCGCGCCAAAUAGAGUCCGCGUCGCCAUUUGUUUGCCGCGACUCAAAGACGCAGAUCGAGUCUGCUACGUCGUCCCUCCCUGAACGUGAUUGAAAUACGCCGAUCGAGUCUGCUACUUCCACCAGGAACGUUAUGCAUCACAAGGAAGAUGAAGGCGACGACGAACACGAACCUACGACUGCGAGCGGCGACGCCUCCGUUCGCUCGAAGGGAAACAUGCACGAGGAAACACGCGCGUGUGACAGAAAGACACGCGCAAAGAUUUGGCUGGGUCCACUAGGUAAUUGCCAAGUCUAAAAUGUCAAACCAUUGGGGAUGACCAUAUUUUUUCCUUUGCAUUUGCAAUUGGGAGUUGGCAAACAAUAACAAAUGCCAAACCGAAAUUGCCAAACCAUUGGAGGUGCUCUUAUUCUUUCUCCGUUUCUUUUCCUUUUUUUUCUUUCUUUUUCUUAUAAUACAAAAUUUCCUAUUUUUAUUUUGCUCCCAACUGUAUCAUUGUUAUAACUUGUCACUAAUAGUUAUAUCUAUUUUUUUCAAAUCCACUAGUGAGGUUUUUUUCUCUUCUUCUGUCAAUAACCUAUUUUGUAAAUUGUUAUUGGGUCUUUUAACUUUAUGUUCUGGUUUGGUUUUAUAAUCUUUUUAUUUCACAUAAAUGAGCAUUUUUUUGUCCCAAAUAUGUAGCAUUUUUUUGUGAUGUUGGAACAGAUUUCCUCGUUAUGCUUAUGCUAGAAUAUUGUUUUCCUGAACAUGGAACGUUUUGGUUAUGAAGCUGGAAAAAAAUUCCUAUGAGGCAACAACAUUUUUCUAAUGAAGCUAGAAGAUAUUCUUCACGGAGCUGGAACAUGUUCUAUACUUUUUUUGCAGGAACAUCUUGUUUUUAAGGUAGCACAUUUUCCCGUGAAGGUAUAAUAUUUUUUUUCUAAUUUUAUUUUUAUCUCUUAUGUUAAGAUGACAACUAUAAAAAAAACCCAAUAUGAUAUGGCAAGCAAACACUAGAAAUAUACCCCAGUCUUUCAAUAACUUUAUUCUUUGACAUGCAGACCUUUAACAUGUUGGCAAUUCAUUCCAACAAAGUUUCCCUCAAAAUGAACUAGUGUCAAUGUUUUGUUCUAUCAACUAAUGAGUUAUAAAGAGUCAUGCCAUGUAGCUUAGAACAAUUCUUGUGGUUCCAGGAAUCCGGCUAUAGGCAAACCAGGAACGAGGAGCUCUCCCCUUUUUUACGUCCGACUUUUUGAUUUUAACUUAGACUGUUGGUUUUAAGAACGAGUGAUUGCCUUUGGCUCUUUGAUUGUAGUUAAAGACCACAUGUGUCAUUUCUUGUUGUUGCCAUCUAAAAUUGUGUAGAAAACCCUGCCGAUGGCGGGAGUCAAGAGAAACCAAACUUCCGACGCCUCCACAUAGGAAAAAGAGGUCUGGCUCCUUUCAGCUUCUAGCCAAGAUACAUUUUGUUCAACCCCGUUUGGUAGGAUUCUAGGUGAAGUCAGAGUAGAAAUCCCUUUGGGUGCCAUACCGAAGAGACCUUUGAUCUUUGCGUUUAGGUUUCUUUUCUAAAAAGAACUUAUAAAUUCAUCUUUGAUAUCAUUUUUCCUUUUCCAGAUAUAGCAAUGAGCGAGGUACAAAUAGUAUUGCGCCAAACGAUUAAUAAGGUUGAAAAUCAGACACUCAGCGACCUGCUGCCUCCUGCUAUCUUCCUUUGGCUGAUAAGGUGUUGAUGCAGCAGGACAGAACAAACCACAGAUGCCAGUGCCAGCAUGAGCUGACACGACAUGCCAGAUCGGCAGGGCCGUGAAGCCAAACUAGAAUAGGAUCAGGUUCGUUCUCUUUACAGUUCACUCGAAAUAUAGUUUUCCUCACAGAAAAGCUAAUUGAUAAUAUGUUUUCCCACAAAACAGCACGUAAAAGAGCAAGAUUGACACCAGAUUCACUCAUCAACUUAUCCAUGCACAGUCCAAAGAGACACACAUGCCAGCAAAGGAAAUUUGUUGUUUUAUUGCAAGAUCUACGAGCUCAGACACUUUCCAAAGGUGUCAAGGUAAUGCAAAUCCGAUUCACAAUGUCAGAAGUCGCUUAGCGUCAUCGUUUGUAACACUUCCAAAGUAGAAUCACAUUUAUCAUUUGAGCUUCUUAAAGAGCUUUGGUGCUACCUGCAGAUGCAUGUUUCAUAGAAAAAUUGGUUAUUCUACCUUGGCAAUGCUUUUUCCACAACUAAUUUUAACAAAUGGUAAACUGCAAGCUGCAAUCAAGUACUUACACAUUUGUCAAUGCAUGACCAGUAAUCAAAAUAUUGCCCAGUGCAGUGUUUGUGACCAGUCUCAUCACUCUCAACUCUCUUGACACAUUUCUGAAAACAUACAGUCACCAUUAAAGGUUGAACAAAAAUACUCGUGUGCCAGGCGUGCAUAUUAAAACAAAUGAAAUACUAUUAUCAUCCUAGGGUAAAAUAAAACUAUAUGUAGGCUAAUAUUCAAAAAUCAAAUUAUAGAAGUUUAUUAAUAAGAGUCUAUAACACCAAAUACAGGAAAUUGCAAUGAAGAUUUAUGUAAUUCAAAACCUCCAGCACAAGUUCUGCAUUCCUGAAUUCAAGAACUGUGAGAAAACUUAAAUUUGGCAAGCACCCCAAUAAUGUUAUGCAUGUCAAAAACAGGACCACAUAUCAACCUAUAUUGUUUGAAUCAGUCUACAGAGUACAGACUAAACAUUACAUUGGUUGAACAGCUAGCAAAAGUUGUUAUUCAGAGCAUCCCAUUGUUCCAUCACUUUUGACUUGAUCAGCAAAUCACUAGUAUGCGCGAGUGCAGCUAAAAGAUUCUUGGCACAACUCUCAGAAUGGCAUGACUGUGUUGUCCGACCAGGACAACAGGAGAUGUGGAUACAAGAACAUACUGAAAUAUCAGACCAAUACCACUAGACAAUAUUAGCUCCUGGUAUUUGCCACUAAGAAUAAGCCUAAUAUAAGGCAAAGCAAUGUUACUGCUUGCACAUCUCUGGGUAGUGGAACCAUAGCAUUGGUUAAAACUCAUAUGUUCACAUGGAUGAAUAGAGCAAAUAGGUUGUGCAUGAUCAGUUGAUCCCAUGAACAAAAAAAAACGUUGCCAGCUAAUUUGGUCAGGUAUACAAAGUGUGUUUCGAGUGUCGAUAAAAGCUUCAUCAUGAGAAACUAUUCUGCCAUUUGACUAACUGUAACCAGCUAUUUCUUGAACUUUCAUGAAGGAAAAUAAAUAGUACUCCCUCCGUUUCAAAUUAUCAGACAUUUUGGCUUUUCUAGACACAUUUCUUUUACUAUGUAUCCAAACAUAGUGCAUAUUUAAGUACAUAGCAAGAGCUACGUAUCUACAAAAGCCAAAACGUCUUACAAUUUAGAAUGGAGGGAGUAUCAUAUAGAAACCCUUGUAUCAACUGAAAAAGAAUAUGUUAAAUCAUUGGCCAACAAUGUGCUAAAUUUUGAGCUUCCAAUAAGAAAGAGAGGGCAGACCUCAUACUCAUAAAGCGAUUUUACACACUGUGGCUUGCAUCGUUCCUCAAGAUAUUUCUUCUGAUCAACAAGUUCCUCGUCCUCCCUGAGAUAGAGCAACAUUACAGAAGCAUUGAACUUGAGACAAGAGGGGGAAAAAAAAGGGGGGGCUAGCAAUGACCGGCCCUUGUGCUGUGAAUAACACUUCAGAGUUUGCAAUGUAGGAAUGUACUAAGUAAGCUCACUAACAUUGUGAUUUGCGAAAGAAAGGAUAUCUGCAGAUCCUGUCUGCAACAAGAUGCCUACCGUAAUCUUCUAGAAAAAGUUUGCCAAACAAAUCUCAGUUCUCAACUUAACAGCACGAAAAUGCUCAUAUAUAGAGCAGGGCAUGGCGUGAGGUAUAGUAGCAUUUUGGAGUCAGGCGGUGAAGAAAACAAAUGUACCGAUUCAUUCACCCUCCUACAAUAAAUACCUCAAGCAAAGCAAUAACCCCCAACAUAACAUGGGGCAGUUAAGCUAAUGUGCGACAAUCCUCUAACUAUGACGAAAUAGAACCAUAUUCCUAUGCAUGAAGAUAUGGGUUAGGUACCUCAAUGCUUACCUUACACUACGGUUGAGCGUGCUUGCUAGACGGCAGACGAGAUACAAUAAUUUGACCUACAUUUGGCCGGAUAAACAACUUCCCACCCACAAGCACAAGCCCAGGGUCAGAAAAGCCAAAGCUGUAAUCGAGCUGACACAGCCCACAGCUACGCACGAAAGCAAAAUCUAGCAAGUAAGCUACGCAUCUACCUUACUCUUAAGUCUUAACCCAUCGAGAGCAAAGGGUGAUGUUGCCCCUCUCGUGGCUGAAGCCGCGACCAAUCAGCCGAACACAGCCCCCAGCCAUCCAGCUCGCGGAAUCCUUAUGCGCAACGCAAGGCGUGGGUGUGCAUCCCUAACAGAGCGACGCAGCUGAAACCCGAAAGGAACAGGCGCGUCGCGAGAAGCAGCAGGGGAGCGGGAUUCCGAAGGUAAUGAAGAGCAGAGCGAGAAGAAUCAGGAGGUCGCGGGAGGGAGGAAGGAUGACUCACAUGGCGACUGGCGGAGACCGUGGACGAACGAACGAAGUGGAGGAGGAUCAGAUCCGAUGCUAGGGUUGGGGGGGGAUUGGAUUUGGGGGGGGAAGCGGAGCGGGGCGGGCGGUUUGCUGCUGGUACGGUACGGUAGAGACUAGACUGACCACGACGAGGUUGACGACGCCAACUGCUUCUGUUUGGGGGAAAUGGGCCAUUGACUUGGGUCUUUUUAGGCCCAACGUUCGUCGGAGACAGCCGAAUUCAAUCAGACUUGGGCCUCUUCAGUACUCACCGGCCCAGAUUUUUUUACAUUAUUUUCCUUUGCUUUUUUUUUUAAAAAAAAAAAAGUAACUCAGUUUGCUCACCGUGCAGCAGCAGCAUCAUCAUCAUCGCCUGCUGCUGCCUGAUUCAUCUGCAUCUAGUAGUUACCUAAUUAAUGAACAACAGGUCGGGGUUGUGAUCUGUGAUUCCAUCUACGCCGCGCCAAUAAUCCCUUUUUUUUCAGGUUUGCUCACAUGGGGAUCAUCAUUGUCACAGUUGGGAGGAGGAGGAGCAGCUGCAGCAGAUCCGAUCCGAUCCAUGAUCCAUCCAUGGCCAUGAAUAUGAAGCCAUCCUCGUCAUCGGAGGAAAGAACACGGCCCGCCUUUCCGAUCCAUCGUGCAAGUCAAGUUCUGGCAGUGUGGAGCACGCAGCGUCAGGCAGCUAUAGCUGUUCUUCGCUGGCCCUGCUGCUGGGAGGGCGGCGUGCCCAGCCCACCGUGUCAUGCAUGGGCGAUCAUGGUCGCCGUCCGUCCGGGUCCUGCUCCUGGUGACCACUUUGAUUAGCGCACAAAUUGCCGCCUGACAGUGUCAUUAUCAUUCCGUACGUACACCAUUGAUCCCCAGCAUAUAAAACUUUAAUAAAGUCGGUAGUACAUGUAUAUGGGCUCACUAAAUCCGUAUCAGCACGCGUGUGCCACUACCACUAGAGAUGUGUGCUCAGCUGGAGUACUCUAGUUUAUUAUUAUUAUUAUAGUUCCAGGUCAUAUGAUCCUGGACCCAAAUCGCAUUAAAUUUGUUGCAACUGCAUGCAAGGUGUUGCUCUUUAAAAGCAAUUAUAUAUAUAUAUAUAUAUAGUAAUAAAAAAAGGGGAAAAAUAAGGAUCUGGAAGCCGGCCCAGGCGCAAAAGGACCGGUCCAGCGAGGAAUGGGUUGGGCUUGCUGGGUGCACCUCCACGCUAGUCCAGCCGCACAAAUGGGCCCGCCGCCAUCUCGCUCCAUCGGACGGGUCAGCUUGCUCCACGUAGCCCAUCGGAAGGGAAGGCCCUUUCCUUUUUUUUUUUCCCUUGCCAGUGCCAGGUAUGCUGCUUCAUAUUAUACCCCUGCGCCCAAUUUGGAAUCUUGGCCAAUCGAUCGAUAAUAACAAGGACAGAUGAUUCGUGACCCACGCUUCUUCCUUGAUUGUUUGGUUGCUUUAGUUGAAGGCAUCAUCAUCAACUAGCUGUGCUGUGCAGCUCGUCGGCUCUAGCUAGAUGCCAUGUGGGUUAUGCAUGAGUUUGUUUCGUGUUGCACAUUUUAGCCUAUAUGUUUGCUGGUUUCAUCGACUUCAAGUUAAUCUUUGAAAGAGAGCAUACAACGUAAAAUAUUUUUCUAGAAACCGGAGCCAUUUUGUGAAGAAAAACUUCUCCCAAAUGUGACGCCUUACUAUUACAUUACACCUCUUUAGUAGAGCUUUGGCCAGUCCUAGCUACUAGGCCCUAUGUGUACUAUAGCAAUGAAUUAUUUGUAUCUCUUUUGUCAAACCGAACUAAGAUUGGGCGAAUAGUUUUACUAGCUCUGACUUCUCGAUCUAAAUAUAUAUUACUAUUUUGUUUGAAAUUGUAAGUCAUUUUGACUUUUAUAAAUUUAGAGUUUUUACUAUAUAUCUAGACAUAGUAUGUAUGUAUGUAUGUAUGUAUGUAUGUAUGUAUGUAUGUAUGUAUCUAUGUGUAUAGCUAAAUCUAUUAUGGAUCUAGAAAGGCUAAAAUGACUUAGAACUUGAAAUGGAUGAAAUAAUUCAUUACAAAAUAGUUGCUUCAUCCUAUUGCAAACCUUGAUUGGCCUUGUUUGGAUCCACAUAUAUUGAUCCAUAAUGCACAUAUAUUAGAGUUGAUUGAAAUGAAACUUAGUUUAAUUUCACUUCAACAUAUGUGGAUUGAGGUACAUACACAUACAUGUAAACAAGAUCUUAUAUAAUUUAUCUUACAACUCUUCUCUAUGCUUUAGAUCGAUAUAACUCAUCACAAAAAUAUGUACGCGUCUUUGGUCAUUAAUUCCUUGCAUCUAUUUAAUGAAAGAGACCAAUCUUAUCUUGUAAAUAAAUAAAGGCAUUAUUUGAUGGAGCUCCAAAAAAGUUAGGUAUUUGUACCUUCAUGAAAAGUUGCAUUUAGAGUUAAGGACUUAAGGUACAACGAGGGCAUUUAGAUAAUUCAUUUUCCUACUGGGUACAAUUAUUUAAAUAUCUAGAUCUAGAGCAUAGGCAUCAAUCACCGCUCGAUGUACUAAACAAAUGGCAUCAAAAGUUUUUCUUAAAAAAAUGGCCUCAAAAGUAACCACACAAAAAGUUUCAGGAGUAGUUAGUGGUGACAUUCAUAGAUAAAAUCAUCUCAAUCACUUCUAAUUUUCCUAGAUAUAGCCUAACAUAAACAAGAACACAAAAAAGAUCGUUUAAGGAAAAAAAGUACACCUGCCUAUACAAAUAAAAAAAACUGUACCAUUUAAACCAUUUUGCAAUCAGAAUUCAGAACUAGGCAGAAACUACUCCUUUUUUUUUGUACUAAUGUUUUUUAAAUUAAUUUUCUCCCACCCGGAUGCGCAUAUAAAAACCGCCGAAACCCUUGGCUCUCCUCACUUGACCACCGCAACCACUUCUCCCCUGUUUCCUCUCGUGCAUUCUCCGUGGGAAGCGAGGAGGACUCGCGGCCGGCGGCAGGUUCUGCUAGAUCUCCGGGUAAGUGUUGAAAGAAAAGAAAAAUUGUUGGAGGAAUUAAUUCCGAAUCUUUCUCCAUUGCGAUUUUGGUGUCUAGUCUGAAACGCGCAGUUCAUCCCAUUCCUGCCCACAGUAGAUCAGAUCCGAUUUGCUCCUGCGGCAGGCAUUGCGAUUGCUGGGCCCUGGUUGCCGAUUAGUUAUCGACAUAAACCGCGGCCAAGCCCCCCAAGAAGUUCUUGCGGGGUGACAAGAAGAAGAUAAACAGUUUGGCCAUCUCGCCUCGCAAGGAUAACCGCCCGUUAAUGCAUUUUUGUUUCUUGAUUUCUGAAUAAACAUAGGUAUUAUUCGAUUUCUGGAUAAUAGAGUGCCAUUAACUGGUCCCUGCAUAGCGUGGUAUUGGUUACAGAAACUGUGCCGGUUCUGUAGAUUUAGAUGAAUCACAGUGUCAAGAGAGACAGGAUUCACCUGAAUCCUUCUGUUAAAUUAGAAAAUAGACAUGAUCCAAGGUCCUGUGAUUUCUCAGUGAGUAGUCGUGUAGAGUUUAUUUAUUUUGGUCCUGUUUCCUUUGCUGAAAAUGCAGUUAAUACCAAGUUUUCUGCUGUUUCCUAUUAAGAUAGAUACUCUGUUACUGAUUUUUACCCUUUGGCUCCUCCUUGUGUUUUUGUUCCAGAAUCUGUAGCAAAUGGCUGACGGCGAGGACAUCCAGCCCCUUGUUUGUGACAAUGGAACUGGCAUGGUCAAGGUUUGUAGUUCUUGUUCAUGCUGCUACUUCAUAUUCAGCAAUCUUGUUCUGCUAAUUUUAAUAACACGCUUUCUUAACUUUUGGCAGGCUGGUUUUGCUGGUGACGAUGCGCCAAGGGCUGUUUUCCCAAGCAUUGUUGGACGUCCCCGACACACUGGUGUGAUGGUUGGCAUGGGGCAGAAGGAUGCGUAUGUUGGUGAUGAGGCCCAGUCCAAGAGGGGUAUCCUGACUCUGAAGUACCCAAUCGAGCAUGGUAUUGUUAGCAACUGGGAUGACAUGGAGAAGAUCUGGCACCACACCUUCUAUAAUGAACUCCGUGUUGCGCCUGAAGAGCACCCUGUGUUGCUGACCGAAGCCCCACUCAACCCCAAGGCUAACAGGGAGAAGAUGACCCAGAUCAUGUUUGAGACCUUCAAUGUUCCUGCCAUGUAUGUCGCCAUCCAGGCUGUGCUUUCCCUGUACGCCAGUGGACGUACAACUGGUAAUGAUUCGUUCACAUGGUGACCAAAUUUCAUUAGGACCUCCAAUUUUUUUAGCGCAAAGGACCUCCAAAAUUUUCACUCUUAAUUAUGGAUUGCUGUGGUUCAUUCAGGUAUUGUGUUGGACUCUGGUGAUGGUGUGAGCCACACGGUGCCAAUCUAUGAAGGUUAUGCCCUUCCUCAUGCCAUCCUGCGUCUCGACCUUGCUGGGCGUGACCUGACUGACAGCCUGAUGAAGAUCCUCACUGAGAGAGGUUACUCCUUCACCACCACUGCCGAACGGGAAAUUGUAAGAGACAUCAAGGAAAAGCUCGCGUACGUGGCUCUUGACUACGAGCAGGAGCUGGAAAGCGCCAAGAGCAGCUCAUCUGUGGAGAAGAGCUACGAGCUGCCUGAUGGUCAGGUGAUCACCAUUGGGGCAGAGAGGUUCAGAUGCCCUGAGGUCCUCUUCCAGCCUUCCUUCAUUGGUAUGGAAGCUCCUGGCAUCCAUGAGACCACCUACAACUCCAUCAUGAAGUGUGAUGUGGAUAUCAGGAAGGACUUGUAUGGUAACAUUGUGCUCAGUGGUGGCACGACCAUGUUCCCUGGUAUCGCGGACCGUAUGAGCAAGGAGAUCACUGCCCUUGCCCCGAGCAGCAUGAAAAUCAAGGUGGUGGCACCGCCUGAGAGGAAAUACAGUGUCUGGAUAGGAGGAUCCAUCCUCGCCUCCCUGAGCACCUUCCAACAGGUUAAAAAACUUGCACUUUUUUGUUUGUUUCCAGUUGCUAUGGCAAAUAUUGCAACCGUUCAGUAGUUCUAGUAUUUCUUUGUACUGAAAAAAUAUGCUCUGGUAUUAUUUUUGUACAGAUGUGGAUCUCAAAGGCUGAGUACGAUGAGUCAGGACCCGCGAUUGUUCACCGGAAGUGCUUCUAAGCUUAAGGCCCAUCCCCACUUCGGCUCCAUUUAUGUAUUCCUUUCCAGCGAGUGCUUUUCAUGUAAGCUACUAUGUUUGAGAUUGCCAGCCUAUUGAGGAGGCAAUGUUGUUGGAUUUAUAUUUUGUGGCUCACUACAAUGCCAUGCAUUGCUCCAGCUCCUUUCCAUGCCAAGUUUGUUGCUAGUGGUGAAAACAUCAACCACAAAAAAAGAGGUCGGAAAUUAUUAAGGUACCUAGGAUCAUAUUGUAAUUGUACUUGUGCGAGUAACAUUAUUGGUUCUCUUUGUACAUCCAUCUCUGAGACAUGCAAUGCAAUUUGUUUGAUUGGUUGCCGCUUCUGUGAAUGGUUUUUUGUUGCUGGUUGCAACAUUGUUGUCAUUCCACAAAUUUGAAGUUUUUGAAUGGCAACAUCCCUGGGAUUACCUUUGGGCUGCUUGUGAUGAGUCCCCAGAUAUGUGGAUUUCUGAUUGCUGAAUCUCAUGUGCUGCUGCCUGCUAAAAGUUGUUCCCAUGUUACUGGUAAAAGGUACCGCAGCUGAGUGCAUGAAUUCAGGAACAUGGGUUGCCGGUUGCCCUGUGCUGUGCCCCAGUCCGAAUGUCUGCGCCUAACAUGGGCAGGGCUGCUGCGGCUUUGGCAGGAAGGGACCAGACCAUUUGCUCCUUCCAGCUUUGUUUCAGUACCCACGGAGUGAUUAUUACUAUGCUCUAAAUAAAUGACACCUUUUAAUUGUGGCUUUUGAUGACACCUUUUAAUUGGGGCUUUUGAUUGCAAUUACAUUUGAUACUAAUAUAGUGCCAAUGCUAACACCACAGCUUCAUUUGGGGAUGCACAUGAAGAUUGGGGAUGCAUGUGAAGAUAACCAAACAACGAUAUUUCUUCCAUAGUUUUAAGUCUCACGCUAUGAUCCAUUGCUCAGCUUCCUCAAAAAUAUCAUCGAUGAUCCAAGGCAUUGAUCUCCGCUGAUUUUGAAAAAAAAACAGGUUGUAUUCAUUAUAAUAUGUUUAUCAAAUGCUCUUAGUUACGUCAUUUCAUACAAACUUAUGUGACUAUAGCAACAUAGUACCUAAUUCAUGCCAAAGCAUGUACCAUUUGUUACACUUGGUAUGAGCAUUUCCAGCUUCCUUGCUGCCAAAGAUUCUAAAUGAUCGUGCAUUAUUGCAGAGAAGGUUUUGCUUCUAAAUGAUCGUGCAUUAGUGCGGAGAAGGUAUGGGUGUUGGUAAAUGUGCCUCUCCCAUUUACUCAUAUUUUUUCAGGUGUAUUUACUUGAUAAAGUUGGUAAAUAUUGUUGAAAACCCAAACCAACUUUUGGUUUGCAAAGAAAGGGACUAACUUAACCAGAUACUGCUACAUACUUUUCAUCCUUGCUUUCGACAGACUCACUAUCAAGAAGGUGUGAUACUGACGUUGGCUCUAAUGGGACUACAAUUCAAUUCUAGGCGAAAUCAUGACGGCCCAACUCCAUUAGGCUCGGCCUAGCACAGCCGCCGCCAAGAGCCCUUGAAACGAUGGGAGGCGGGUUGGUGACUUUGGUGGACCAACAGAGGGCAUAUUAAAAUAGCCCACACGCCAGGGCUAGGGCGCCACACGCGCAUAGCGCAACGCACCCGCCCACAGUUUCAACCCACCACUGUGCCUGACACGUGGGUCCACGAUUUCUCACCCCACAUGUUAAGUGGCCGGACAAAGGCACCCCGACAAUGCACAACACGACAUGGUGCGUCGUUUUCAAUUCAUGCUCCAACCUUUUCGUUUAGUUUAAUGGUUUUUUAGUCAUCCGUUCUCCUCCGUGCUCCAGCCUUUCCGUCUAGUUUAAUGGUUUUUAGUCAUCCGUCCUCCUCCGCUCUUUGUUGCCAACCCCAGGAACAACCCUGCCUAGGCCUAGGGAAGGACCGAAAGGGAGGUGCGCGGCUGGUGGUGUGCGAAUGUUAGCGGCGUUGCAGGAGUGCGGAACUCUUCUUGUUGCCGAGCAGGCGCUCCGUGCCACGACGAUGAGCUUGUCCACCCGCUUGCUUUUUGGGACAAGGUGUGUUGUCUUUGUGUGUAGUUGUUGUCCUUUUGUUUUCCUCUUAGCGCCGUUGCGCACUUGCGGUGAGGCCAAUGUGCUCUUGCUGGUUGGGGGAGAUCAUAGAUGGAAUAGGUUGUAGUGGGAUUCUUGCUCUACUGGUAAGCUGCUUGAUUAUAGGACUGCCAGCGUCGGCGCAAAUUUGUUUUUGUCGAUUGUAGGGGGUUAGGGAAAUCGAUAGGUGACGAAGUUUGUUCUUCCCCUUUGAUUGAAGCUUCGUGAAGUCUCAAUUAUAUAGGGCUUGAGAUCUAUUAGGACUAGCGAAGUAAUGGUUUUCUAGUGGUGAUACUGGCUAUACAAUUUUGAUAUAUUUGGAUAUAUCCGCUUAUCCCAGUGUGAAUUUGAUGUUUGCUAUAUUAUUGUUAUCCUAAAUAAAAUUAUUAUUAAAUAUAGAUGUCUCUCUUGGAAAGAAAAUUUGUGUUUUGGUUGUGGGGGAAGAGCAACUCCCUAUUCCCCGUUAUUGGUGGCAGACAAAAUGUUAUAAUACUAUGUGUGUAAAAUAUUUCCCUUUUAACAUUCACAAUAAUAUAAACUUUAAAAUAACUAUGAAAUAUUUUAAAACUAAAUAUGUGAUGACUAAUUUCAUAACUUUUGAUAACUCACAUGGUGACUGAGUAUGCAUGGAAUAAACACAAGUCUAUAUACGUAUUUAUAGCUUUACGGUGGCAACCUUCAACAAUUUUUUAUAUGUUAGAAUAUUUCUCAUAUUUAUCUAUUCUCCAUAUAUUCUUAUUACACAAAAUAUCAAGAUCUAGAGUGUUCCAUAUUGUUUGUGUUUAUCUAUUGCCUAGAUAUUUCUCAUACAAAAUAUCCGUAUAUAAAGUAAGUCUAAAGUAUGAUAAUUACUUCAAUUUAUCUGAAAAGUUUCUCACGUCGAGUUUCUUGUUUUAUAAGAUAAUAAGAAGGCAAAUAUGUCACACCCCUAACAUUUUUCUAAUAUGAUCAUAUUUCUUUCUUCUUAAUAAAUAUUGUUUUUUUCUAUUCUAGAAGUUGUUUCUAACCCAAAAUAUAUUCUACUAUAAAGGGCUAAGUAAAAAAUGUUCUACUUGUAGAAAGAAACCAUUUGUUCCAUAAAGAACAACUAGUGCCAUGUAAGAGUAGCAACAUUUCUAAUUUAUUAAUUAUGCAGUACUGUUACUUAUACAAUACUUUUUUUGAAUGCAUAAUUGUUUUUAUGGUUACACUGUUUCUAUUCCUAUCAUGUUAUGUCAAGCCUUCGCUCUUGCCUCAUAACUACGUAUAUCUUUUCAACUUUGUAUACCUUCGUUUUGGGUUGGAGCCUUUCUAUGGACUUAACGCCACUAUAUGACUCUAUUGUCUUUGUGCCUUGUGAAUAAUAAAAAUUUGAGUAGCCAGAUUUGUUUAAGGUUGAUAAAGUGUGACAAUUCUAACACACGAAAGUAUUUUGUAGUAAAAUCUUUAACCUUGUUACAACAUAAAAAUCCUUAGUAAAUUAUAAAAUCAAAAGAGAGUAAUAGGAAGACGCAAGUUUUUCAGGACAUACUGAAGUAUCAAUACUCUUUAAUAGUUCUUGUUGGAGCAUGAUUUUUUAAUGAUUUCAUACUAUUUUUUUAUUGACGAUAGCAAUGUUUUUAGUUCAUGGAACUAUUGUUUCACGUUUAGCAGCAAAAAAAUAUUUCAUAUUUAUUUUGGAAAUUGUCGCAAAGCAAAAUUUAUUUUUAUCUUAUAAACAAAGUUAGUAUCUUAUUGGUUUGUGAAACUAGUAUAUGUUUUUGUGAAAAUGGCUUUUAGCUUCAAUAUAAAAAUAUUAAACUUUAAUAAAAUAUAAAAAAGUUCUAUUACUUAUUUACAAUCUAUGUACUAUAUAUUUAGGCUUUGUUUAGUUUCAAAAUUUUUGGCAAAAUAAGCACUGUAAUAUUUUCAUUUGUAUUUGACAAAUAUUGUCCCAUCAUGGCUUAACUAGGCUCAAAAGAUUUGUCUCACGAAUUACAGACAAACUGUAUAAUUAGUUAUUAUUUUUAUCUAUAUUUAAUGCUAUAUGCAUGUGGAGCAAGAUUCCAUGUGACGAGAAAUCUGAAAAAGUUUAUAAAUUUUUUUAGAAACUAAACAAGGCCUACUAGCCACUCAUAGCGUCUAAUGAAGAGAAUAGGUAUGAAGUUUCUGUUGUGUUAUUUAAAACAUAUGUUUUACUAGCUAUAGAUAGUGUCCAUGAAGAGAGUAGAUAUAUGGAAUCAACGAGAAUGAAAAUUUAAAAGGGAGAGCAAGAAAAUAAAAAUAAAAAUAAAACACAAACUUUCAAAGAAACUGAAAAAAACGGCCAACGAGAAGCCCGUGCGUUUUUUUUAUUCCGCCGUCGAUGCUUCCGUCUUCCCCUUCCGUCCGCUGCGGCGCUGCAUCCCUCUUCCCUCCUCCGCCUCCUCUCUCUCUCUCUAGCUCUAGCUCUAGCUCUCUCUCUCUCGCGCGCGCUCCCAGACGACUGUUGGCUCGCCGCCGCCCCAGGCCAGGUGCUGAGGCCUUUCUUGGCCUCUUCGCCGGCGACGAGCACCCACCAGGCACCCCUUCUCUUCCCUUCCCUGUACGAAGGUGAGCACCGAAACCCUAACCUAAAGCUAUUUAGCUAUUUGAUUGACAGUCCUCCUUACUUCGAAGCUUUUGCAAAAAUUAUUGGGUGUUCAUGUGUACACCCAUGUCCGUUUACUGGAUCCGCCCCUGCCCUUUAUGUUCACCUUUAGAUGGUUGGCAACCCAUUUAGGAGGCUAGUUUGUUGUCAACAAACCCAUUGCUGAAGCACGAAAAGACUGCUACCACUAGCCAUAAGUAUCACCACACUAAUUUUGUGGAAAUUUUCAGAUAGUGAAGCCAGUCACUUACUCACUUCUCAAGGUCUCAGUGUUAUAUCAAAAUGACAUCUUUGAUGGCUAGGUGAACAAAUGGUUCUGUUAUAUAAGUCAAUACAGCUGAUUUGGCGCGGAGCCGUGUUUGCCCUGUGUAUACAGUUCAGAAUUGCACAAUGUCCUCUUGCAGUCCCUGCAAUGUUUCCUUUUCAUGCUGCUGCACUCAUUUGGUUACAAAUUUAUGAUAUCAUCAAUGCCAUCAGGAAGAUUUGCUGUUGUAUACCACUGUGCAAUUUAUCUCUAGAGAAAUAUGGUACUUAAUUGUGUCAUCAAAUUCCACAUUUUCCUUUGACCUUAGGUGAUCCUGCUAAAAGUUUGAACUCUGGUUUUGCUGUGUGGUUUCACACAUCAAAAAGCGAAAUAUGCAAGAAGUGGAUUUUAAAUUUCAUCCCAAAUUGCGUUUUCAGGUGACACCAUGAUAUUGAUGUGAAGUUUUGUGGCACUUCCUGCAUCCCUUAUAUGGUAUUAACAAGGUUUUUAAUUGUCUGGGUGAUCCAUUUAUCAAAUGGAAGGCAACGACCUACCCCCUGGAAACAUGUUGCAAGGGGUUCCCUAUGAUACUUUAGACUUACGUGGCAGCUCUAUGCAAAAGCAUACUCCAAACUCAGGAAAACAGAUCUUCAGUAGCUCCCAGAUGCCGGGGACUUUCACAAUGUCUAUGAUCAGGGCUACAGAGCCUGAUGACUUUCCUGGCUUUCAGUUCAAAGAACAUGGAAAGAGUGAUGACCACCACCACCAACACCAUAGUCAUCACUCAAAGAACUGCAAAAGUGAUGGCGAGGAACAUGAUGUGGCUGAAGAUGCUAUUGAUACCCCAAGUGGCAAAGGCAAGAAGGGCUCUGCAUGGCAUCGGAUGAAGUGGACAGAUUCAAUGGUAAAACUUUUGAUUACAGCAGUGUCUUACACUGGGGAUGAUCAUGGUGCUGAUUCCGGUGGUGGCAGGAAGAACUUUACAAUAAUGCAGAAGAAGGGCAAAUGGAAGGCGAUAUCGAAGGUUAUGGGAGAGAGAGGCUGCCAUGUGUCACCGCAACAGUGCGAGGACAAGUUCAAUGACCUUAACAAGAGAUACAAAAGGCUGACAGACAUCCUUGGUAGGGGCACUGCUUGCAAUGUUGUGGCUAAUCCAGCACUUCUUGAUAGCAUGAAUCAUCUUUCUGAUAAGAUGAAAGACGAUGCAAAAAAGAUACUUAGUUCAAAGCACCUAUUCUAUGAGGAGAUGUGUUCCUACCACAACAACAACCGUGUAAAUUUGCCUGAAGAUCAUGCACUUCAGCAUUCACUACUGCUUGCCCUUAGGUGUAAAGAGGAGCAUGAUCCUCCGAGGGAUCCAAGUGGAGAUGCUGAUGAAGACGAUCAAAGUGCAGAUUCUGAUUAUGAGGAGAACGACGAAGAGCAACAUCCUGUGCAUACAACUAUGAUGGAAGCCUCAACGCACAAAAGGAAGCGUCACAGUGAUGUGCCUUUGAUCACAUCAAGCUCUCAUGAAGGAAGUGAGAGGUCUGAUCCCCAUGGUGUCACAGUGGACAUCAACAAGACUUUCACAGAUGCAACCAACAUGAUUUUGUUGCAACAAGACUUGGCUUCACAAGCCAUAGAGAUUCAGAAACGUCGCUUGCAGAUUGAAGCGAAGGAACUGGAACUCGCAAAGCAACGUCUCAAGUGGGAGCGGUUUAGUAAGAAGAAGGACAGGGAGAUCGAAAAAAUGGCAUUGGAGAAUGAACAUAUGAUGAUUGAGAACAAACGCUUGGAACUUGAGCUGAGACAUAAGGAGUUACAGCUAGAUCUUAAGCUGAAAGGCUAGGGGAACCAUCUGUAACUUUUGCUUAAUCAACACUCAAUAUGUAAGAUGGUAAACAAGUAAGUGGGCUAUUGAACUAUCUUUACUAAGGAAAGGCUUUAUAUUCAUCAUCUUGAGCAGCUAUUUUUUUUUUAUUUGAACCUUUUCUGUUUUAAUUUGCUAUAUAUGGAACUCAUUCUUGUUUGUGUUUUCUGUUAAAAGUGCAUCAAUGUUUGUCAAUGGAGGGAACCAAAAACAUGUCAUUAGUUUUAAGCUAGGUGAUUCCUAACAUUCUGCUCAUAUUGGAUUUGCAUAUAAGAAAAUUAUUGCUUAAUCAUCAGCAUGUGAUUGUUUGCAUUUCCUGUAUCUAUGCUAAUUACAGUCAUAUAAAUGCUAUAGGAAUAACAGACUAGUAGCAGGUAACCCUGCGCUUUGCGCGGGGGUGGAGGUACGAUUUCUUAGCGUGCAGAAACAAAUAAAGGCUGAGCAAGAAUGGUAUCCAAAAUUCCAAAUCAACAAAAGAGAAAAAGGAGAGUGACAUAAUAGGGUAAGAUCAAUAAUUGAGGUGUUUUGGUGGCCGAUAGCCCAAAAUCAAGAAUCAGCUGCAAUUAGUAAAGCAGCUGACCUGAAAUUAGCAAACCUAAUUCAAAAGACUUAAAAAAAUUUCAGGUGAGAUUUACUUUUGUUAAGUUAAAUCUUGACCUCAAAUUGAGAGCCAAGGGAGUCAGUUAAACAUCAAAGUACCUAGAUUGGAAGAUAUAGCGAACACUAUGCCAAAAUGUAUGCAUUGUAGAAAGGUGCAGGUAAUCAGUUCAGACAUGCAUUUCAGCUAAACCCAAUCAUUGAAGCCAAAAUAGUCAUUUGGAGACAAACGGCAGGAUAGACAAUAUAGAUUCCUUAAUGUACAAUAUUGAGCAAAGUUUAGAAGGCCAUAGUUGGAUACAUAUUAUUUCUGAAGUAUCUUCCCAAUUUUUCUGCCUGUGCAAUCAAUCAAAAGCAUCCAGGAGAGAAACAGAGCAUUAUAAGUGUUACUCAAAAUAAACCACCAACUCAUCGGGAUGUAAGAAACAGAGUAUUCAACUUAUGAAACAGAUUAGUUUCUCUCCCCUCUUAAGCAGAAUUAGUGUAAGAAAAUAUAAGAUUAGAUUGUUGUACAGGCCUUAACUUAUUUAACAGAGCAAGAGGUGUUUCGUAGGGAUGUGGAAAAGUCGCUGACAUAUUUUAGUGACCUCUCUUUUCAUCAGAGGCUGCAAAAUUUUACCAUGAAAUUUGCUUAGUGCUAGCUAUUUUGUUAGCAUUAAAACUGUGCAGAAGCAGUUGUGACAGAAGAACUGCUAUUUUUAGCAUAUUGAUUGAUAUGGCACACUGUCAUGCGAGCAGAAAAUGGGGGAUAUGUAUUAGUAGCAGUAACACCAGAGUUGGCAUUGAAGAUUGUAACGGUAUUACCAAUCUAAAUCUCAGAUACUAAAUGAACAGGAAGCUGCAAAAUAUUGUCAGGAAACUUAACAUGGAAGAAUAUGUUAACUACAAUUUAAUAAAGCAUCAUUUGGUAGCCCUGCAGGAAAACACAGGAUCAACAUGGAACUAGUUUUUUUUUUCUCUAUGUCAAGAGAGUAAAUAAAAAUUUGGCAUUGCGGUAUUAGAGAGGUAAGAUGACCCUUUUUUCUUCUAUGAAACCUUGUAGCGGCCGCUGAAUGAGGAUGUUUCAGUAUAACAGAAAUUGAUUCUGCAAAUAAAUAGUGAAACUAAAGUUAGAAGGAAAUAAUAGGGAGGAGGUAAUGAUGAACUUCACAAAGCAAACAUUUGAAUGAUCUGGAUGCAUGCAAUCUUACAUGAACAUGAGUGACAAUAUUUUUUAAGCACCUGGAUUCAGUGAAUCAAAACGGCAUUAGUUUUUUUCUUGAGGAAAAAAUGGCAUUGGUUAAGCAUUCCAAAAUGCUCUGGAGUCCCAAGCGCGUGCAGAAGCAGCAAGGUGGAAAAUUUGGCUUCAAUCAAGCUAACCCGCUGCAGCUGCGACAACGCUUGGGCACAGGAUGAGAGAAAACUUACCGAUGUAGCACAAGGUCCAUAGGAGAUGAAAUCUGAUGCAGGGGCGUGAUGCUACCCUGACUUCACAAUGCGUGUGCAUGAUGUACUUGUUGGUUAUUGGGGAUGAUCAGACAUCCUUGCCGCUUUUGGCAGUGACCAGUUCGAUAUGGUAACAUCCAUUACCAUUUACACUUAAAUUGGAAACUCAAUGGUUCUUAAAUUGAAAACUCUAUGGUCCCUUGCGAUGCUGGAACAGUUGUAGAUGUGACAUAGUAUGUUAUCUUUUAUGUGAGUUGUUUGGGAAUCACCGAAUCAUUUAUCUAGGAUUUGCUACCAUUUUUUGUGUUGGUUCCUCUACCAGUUGUACAUAUUACUGUGCAAUAUGUAUCUUCCUACUUCUGUUUGAAUGAAUCAUGGGUUAAGCAUUCUUCAUAACUAGCAACAGGAUCUUGUUCAUUAGCUUUGCAAGAAGUUCCAUAGUUGAGAUCUCGAAGACCCUAGGUUGUUUAUGCUUGUUCUUAUGGGUACUGAAAGCUCAAACAAUGUAAUUUACAUGGUUAGGGAUUAAUUUAGUCCAAGCUUAUUAUUGAAGGCUUGGUGAUUUGUUGCUUAUUGCUUACUUUAACCACAUGCUGGUUGUCCUGUGCUUUGAUGGUGAGUACUAACACUCAUUCUUUUUCUGUUGUUUCAGGUAGCGGUUGAGCUUCUGGAAUCUGGAAGAGAGGUGGUAGAUUAGAGUAGACUCUGACAACCAUUGCUGUGCGUAUGACUUUGUUCUGUGUUCUUCUGUCUGUGAGAUGUACUUGUUGGGCCUCCUGCUCUCCGCGACAGUAGUAUUGUUGGGCUUGAUGUGAUCUGUAAGACUGUGACUUCCAACUUGCCUAGCCAAUUUUUUUUUUCUUCAGCAUGUAUAUCAAGGUGAUGUUAUUUGGCUUUGGCCACCUCUGAAGCUUUCAUGAAGGUAGUGAGACUAUUGGGCCUAUUUAGUUUGGGUUAAACCAUUACUGCUAGAGUGCUAGUGAGACUAUUUUGUUAUGGCCUUGUUUAGUUCCGAAAAGUGAAAACUUUUCGGAACUGUAGCAUUUUCGUUUGUUUGUGACAAAUAUUAUCCAAUCAUGGACUAACUAGGAUCAAAAGAUUCAUCUUAUGAUUUACAGCUAAACUGUGUAAUUAGUUUUUAUUUUCGUUUAUAUUUAUUGUUUCAUGCAUGUGACACAAGAUUCGAUGUGACGGGGAAUCUUGAAAACUUUUUGGUUUUCAGGAUGAACUAAACAAGGCCUAUGUUUUGUGAGAGCUCUACUGGUCCCCAUGGCAUCACAGUGGACAUCAACAAGGCUUUCCCGGAUGGAACCAACUUGACUUUAUUUUCAGCAACAGGACUUGGCUUCACAAGCACUGGAGAUUCAGAAACGUCGCUUUCAGAGAUUGAAGCGAAUCAGAAAGAAAAAAUGAAAGGGAGAUAGAAUGGCACUGGAGAAUGGACAUAUCAAUAUUUCACAUGAGUGAGAACAAACGAUUCGAAAUUGAGCUGAGACAUACAAGGAGCUAGAGCUAGUGCUUAAGCUAAGCUAAAAGGCCAGGGGAAUCAUGCAUGACCUGUGGUUGAUCGACGCAUCCAUUUUAAAGGUGUAAAACCAGUUGCUGAUAGCGCAAGCUAAACCUGAGAGAAGUUCAGUAUCUUGAAAAAACUGUCCUUUGUAAAAAGACCGAGUUCCUUUCCCUGCUAGAUGUGCACAGGUUGUGUUCGGUUAUCUUUGUAUUGCAAAAGUGCGUCAAUAUUUCAUACCGGAGAGAACUAAACAAAUUAAACCUCGUGUUUUAGUUGGGCAGGUUUGCCGCCGCUCUGCUCCACUUUUUUUUAGUUUCGCUAGGGAACAACUCUACAAACUUUGCUCCACAUCCAUCUUUUUUAUUCUCGCUCCUAACUUUGAUAGCCGAACACACAUUUUGCUCAAGGAAAAAGGUAGAUUUGAGGGCUAACUUUAGGUGUUCCGUGGAGCACUUAUUUAACUGGAUACUUUAGAAACUUCAAGUUUUCUGUGAAGCUCCUCUGGUAAAUCUCUAGGUAGGAUUCAUACCUUCUAAAAACUAUAAGUUAGGAACGUCAAAAGAUACAUUGGCAGGUUUGUUUCUACUUCUAUGUAAACAAAAGCUAAUAAAGAUGGAUACAUGGUCAUGACUGAGGGGGCUACAACUCUAAACCCAAAAUAGAAAGUGGAUACGAACUACUCGCGAUAAAUGAUAGUAAAAAGAAAGAAAAGGGAAGCCUACGUGGAAGUCGCUCGGCGCACGCGCGUUAUAUAAAAAUUCUACGCAUCCAUCCUCCACGAUUCAGUGACAGAAAAAGAAAAGAAAACAAACCUAAAAUAGAAAGUGGAGAAAGUAGAUACUUACUACUCGGAUAAGUGAUAGUAAAAAGAAAGAAAAGAUAAGCGUGCGUUGAGAAGUCGCUCGGCGCACGCACGUUAUAUAAAAAAUCUACCACCCCGGGCUAUAUUCUGAAUAUAGAACGCUCUUUAUUUGUCAAUUUUCUAUUCAUGAUGUUCUAUAUGAUUGAGCAAUUUAAAUUGGUAUCGUUAUUUGUGUGUUUUAUUACUGCCACUAUUUUAAUUUAUAAUUUAUUUUGUCUUUUCUAGAUAUUCAACCUUUAUUAUGCAUCUAGAUAUCUAUAUCUAUAUCUAUAUCUAUAUCUAUAUCUAUAUCUAUAUCUAUAUCUAUAUCUAUAUCUAUAUCUAUAUCUAUAUCUAUAUCUAUAUCUAUAUCUAUAUCUAUAUCUAUAUCUCUUAUAAUCCUAAACCCCACUAGAAUAUAAUUUUGACAUGCAAGGUGUCCUCAGCAAUCCACUAUCACUUGCAAUUAAAGUUCACUAGCACAAGCAAUUAUAAUAUCUAUAAUACCGAGACACAUCAUCCACUAAGAUAUACUCCCACCAUUUCAAAUUAUAAAUUGCUUUGACUUUUUAUUGAUACAUCCAUUUUGUUAUGUAUUCUUAGAUAUAUAAUAUAUGCCUAAAUGCGCAUAACAAAAAGGAUCUACCAAAAAAGUCAAAACGACUUGUAAUUUAGAAUGAAGGAAGUAUUUAAUUAUCCACGUCAGAGUGCCAUGCUAUACCCUAACAUUAUUAAUUUAUAAUAGUUAAUCCCUUUCUAAAAAUGGUACGAAUAGUUUAAUUUCAUUCCAAAUCAGCGGUGCUUGUUAAAAAAAAUGCAUAGAAAAAGCCAUACCUGAAAAACCAAAGGACCUACAAUACAACCGAGGAUGAUACUUCUAUCAUACUUACAAUUUACAACUGAGGAUAUACUUCUAUUAUACCUGUUAGUUCCAAGUAUUAUUUUUUUUAAAUUUUAUAUUGUUCAACCCUUUCUUAGUUCAUUUCAAACUCCGUCACUGAAAGUGAAGCCAAAUUUUUAGCCUGCCAUGAAAUUUUGACAAGAUUUGGACCGGCCCAUAAAAAAUUUUGACAAGAGCCAACAACGCCCAACGGCUAUCUCUAAGGUCCACUCCUGUCCUAUUAUGUGAUGUGCCCCUGCCUGCCACUGCCAGUGCCACGGCCAGCCAGCGCGUGCUCCGUUCCGUUGUCCUCAACACCUACAGUAGUACAGGAGAAAAUGACACGGGCAGCGGCGCAUCCGGCAUCCGCUACGCGCACUCCAGCCCCCCUGUGCGGCGGCUGUCUGCGCCCACUGCCCACCCGUACCACCGCUGGCUCAUGCAGGCAGCCACUGAGCCACCAGCCACGCCACCACCGCUUUCCUCUCCUCUUCGGCUCCUCCGCCUCCCGUCCCCUCCCCAGUUCCCAACCCUCCUCGUUCCUCCCUCCCGUCGUCGCCUCGCGCACCACCGUCCCCUCCCUCCGAUCCGGAUGGUGGUGCGUUCGGAAUCCCGCCCGGCGCUCUAGCGUAGCUCGGGCUCGGCCAGGCUCCGGGCCCCGCCACCGCGCCGCGCGGUGCCGCAGUCCAGCUCCAGGUCAAGCUCCAGGUGCGUGCCACACAGCAGAUCCGUGCUCCGCCGCCGCCGAUUGUAGGGGGGGGGCUUGUGUUGUUGCGCGGUUUAAGUUUGGUUCACGCGGAAAAGAGAGGUUUUUUUUAGCUCUUUCCUCCUACCGAUUCAGUGGGUUUGGUGGAUGCUGAUGGAUACGCGCUCAGUUUAGGUGAAUUUGGCGCGAUUUGUGUGAAAAGGAGGCGCUUUUGACUGUUCAUUCACUUGGUUAUGUUUCGUAGUACAGGAUGCGGUUGCUAGAGAAAGAUUUUCUACUCAUUUUUUUUUCGGGCAGCCUUCCUUCGAAGAUACAGUAGUAGAAUGUAGUUAAACAUGAUACUACUACCCCUGCCCAAAAAAUGAUGUUGUUCUACUACCCCUGCCCGGGUUGAAUAAUUGUGCCCGUGGUCAGUUUCGUGUGCCUCCUGAGUUACAUCUGAACUGCUUCUCUUAAUGCAGUCCCUAUUGUAUAGCACUUAUAGUUGGUCUGAUAUGAGCUUUAUUGGUUAUAUUUACAUGUGAUGCAUAUGCUUCUGCUAUUAUUGUACUGUCUUGUCUUUUUUUCUUCUUUUUCUGUAGUGGUUACUAGUGGAAGUUAGCGCACUGCAUCCCUUGUAGUGGGAUCCUGACCAAAUCGAGUGUCCAUCUAACCAACCAACCAACCAACCCAACUAACUGUACUGAAAUGUCAUUGCUUUCAGGAUGGUACGGUUUAGUAAAUUGAGGUUGGUGGUGGGUUGGUGGACAUACUAGGGGAAGGUACAUGUCUGUUCUUUAUUGAUGGUGACUUGUGGCUUCAACCUGAGGGUUUUGCCCUUGAUGAUAGGCUGUCAUAGAAUUAGCGGCAUAUAUAAUGGUUUAAUCACAGUGACUAAAAUUUGGAUGCUAAAUUGCUAAUAGUAGAAACAGAGUGCCGGUUGGUGUUUUAGGGGUGUUCUUUUCGGACUAUGCUGAUGUGAUGGGUUGGAAUUGAUGUUGUGGUUGCUUUGUGUGGCAUACUGUCCAAAUACUACCUAUAUGAGAUACUUUUUAUAUUUCAUUUUUACUCAAGGUGGGUUAGUAGAUAUAGCUAAGUAAAUGUUUUCCUUGUCCCAGGGGGCAUUUUCGAAUUGUCAGUAACAGACAGUCUAAUUUUAUCUUCCAGGUCUUUUCCUGAGUUUAAGGGAGAUGCUUGCCUUUAUCUAGGAGGCCCUUUUUGAUACUUCAGCAGAGUUCUUGCCUUCUGGAGUAGAUGUCAUUCCGUAGCAUCGUGCGUGAUGUAAGGGAUGGUUUCGGGAGCUUAUCUAGGAGGGGGUUUGAGGUCAGGUUUCUGAGUCCUCGCAGAGGGAAAUCUCAUGGUGCUGUCCAUGAACUGCACGACCCAGUGCCUGUGGUACAGAGCAGCUGCUGGGCUAGCUUGCCUCCUGAAUUACUUCGAGAUGUGAUUGAGAGGUUGGAGACCAGUGAGGAUACAUGGCCUUCUAGGAAGCAUGUAGUUGCUUGUGCAGCUGUCUGCAGAACAUGGAGGGAGAUGUGUAGAGAGAUUGUCAAGAGCCCAGAGGUCUCUGGAAAAAUCACUUUUCCUGUUUCCCUAAAGCAGGUAAUCAUUCAGUUGUGUUAUUACCUUAUUAUCCAUCUAUCCUGAUUUGUUAGCAUUGUCAAUAUUCCUAUGUCCAGUAUUGUUAUACCAAUUAUAUUUUGGAUAAACUAAUAAGAUCCUGCUGUUCCUCUUCUGUCUACAGCCUGGGCCUCGAGAUGGAACUAUUCAGUGUUUCAUUAAGAGGGAUAAAUCUACCCAAGUCUACAGUCUGUACCUUAGUUUUAGCUCUGGUAAGUUCAUUGCUGUGUGGACUAUUGGAAGUUUCGAUAAAAGUCUGGUGUCUGUAUUUAGAUGUAUUCAGAACUUAAAAACUCAAUAGUGUUCUACUGUUCUGUAGAAAGAAUGCAAGAUGCUAUCCAUUUCUCCCAAAUUUAGUUUUUUACCCAAAUAUUGAUCAUGCUUUAUCUGCAAGCCUUUGUAGGCAUUGAGCAUAUCAGCAAUCAUGAAACAUGAGAAUUUCUUGAUACAAUGGUUUUCUUGUUUUGAUUCAAAAUUAAUGGUUUUUGUGUUGCAUAUCUUUGUACAUAUGCACAGACAAGCUUUGUGUUGAGAACCACAUCUUCUCUCAGCAACCUUGAUAAUUCAUUCUUAGUUUCUUCUGUAUGUAUUCACCAUGAUUUUAUAGUUGUCAGAGUACCAGGCUCAGCCUUCCAUAUAAAAAAGGAGACAGAAAUACAUGUUUUUCUUGCUUGUCUACUUGAUUAAUAUUUUAUUACCAGCAUUGCUAUUUGACAUGUUACAUUAUUCAUCUCUACAGCUGUCCCUGCCGAAGAUGGUAAAUUCCUUCUAUCAGCCAAAAGGAACUGCCGUCCAACAUAUACAGAAUAUACAAUAUCAAUAAAUUCUGGUGAUAUAUCUAGGUCUACAAGUAACAACACAUACAUUGGGAAAUUAAGGUACUGCUGCACUAGCUUCUUAAACUUUAUAUCUUAUUUUCAGAAUUGACAGUAUUUUAAUCUGACAUAUUGUUGUUGCCUUUUGGAUUUCAGGUCAAAUUUCCUUGGUACAAAAUUUGUAAUAUACGAUACUCAGCCACCAUAUAAUGCAACUAGUCCUACCGUGGCAGGGAAAACAAACCAGAGAUUCUACUCCAAGAAGGGGGGGUCGACCAAGGGUUCUUGCAGCCGUUACAGCAUAGGACAAGUCUCAUACGAGCUGAAUGUCCUGGGAACUCGAGGUCCAAGGCGGAUGAACUGCGUAAUGCACUCCAUCCCAGCUUCAUGCCUCGAGGCUGGUGGCAGUGUCCCUUGCCAGCCGGACAGCAUUGUUGCCCACUCUGUUGGCGAAAUGUUCAGCAGCAUCCCCUUGUCAAAGUCAUCUACUAUGGACCACUCUAUGCACUUCAGCAGUUCCCGGUUCUCUGACGCCAUAACAGCGGAUGCCAUUGUUAGCGGAGGCCAGGCAUUGAGCAACGCUGAUGACGAAGAGAGCACGGACACACCUUUGGUCCUCCGCAACAAGGCUCCGAGAUGGCAUGAGCAGCUGCAGUGCUGGUGCCUCAACUUCCGGGGUCGGGUGACCGUCGCCUCGGUCAAGAACUUCCAGCUAGUCGCUGCUGUGAUGACGCAGCCUGCCGUCGGAGCCCCGACCCCGUCGCAGGCAGCCCCGCUGCCACUGCCAGCUCCAGCUCCAGGUCCGCCUCUGCCAGACCAGGAGAAGGUCUUACUGCAGUUCGGGAAGGUCGGCAAGGACAUUUUCACCAUGGACUACUGCUACCCGCUGUCCGCCUUCCAGGCCUUCGCCAUCUGCCUCAGCAGCUUCGACACCAAGCUGGCUUGCGAAUAAAUUCGAUGACUGUAGUUCUUAUCGAAUAAUCAUCAAAGACACUGAUUGUCAGUGUGUUCGUCUAAGAAUUGAAGCUGACUCUGUCCUCAAGUUCUAGCCAUGACGCCAUUCCGCACCUGGUGACGGUGCCUUGUUAACUCUGAAACAGCCCCCCCUAAACGUGUGUGUGUGUGUGGUGUGGGGUGGGGGGGGGGGGGGGGGGGGCUGAAUCUGUUUCAGCAGCUUACUUGUGAUAAUCGGUGGCUGCUGUGUUGCUGUUUGACUGGUGUUGUAUCGUAUGCUCAUUUCUUUCCAGUUCUGUAGCUUCCCCUGUAACAUUAACCUGGAUGUUUUUCAGCCAUUUCGUUGGAUUGUUUACCGGGGAUGACAUGUAUGAACAGAGAUAGUUACAGCUGUAAUGAAUUGUGGUCUGGAUAAUUUUGUUUUCGCGGUUGCCAUUCAAAAAGAGAUGGCUGAUGUCAUCACCUUCAUUCAGCUGGGAGGCCGACUUCUGUCACACUUUUUUCCCAGUGGUAGUAGUAUGCUGUUUCUUUUGUGGUGGGCACUGCUGUCACCUUCAGCAGGGUCAUGCUCACCAGGGAGGUGACUGAUGUUUCAUUUGUUUUGUUUUGCUUCAGAUGCGAGGCCUUUUUAGCGCGGAUUUUUCGCAGCGAGUAGUAAAUAAACAGAUAAAAGUUAUUAUACACAGAUAAUUGCGCCUGCAAUGCAAGCAGGGAGAGUAACGAAAAUCUUUGUGGCCGCGCAGGUCUAGAGAAAAGAAGAUGAUCUGAAAGGGACCUGAUAUGAUAUUGUAGACUAGACGCAGAGGCGUCCCGCGUCCCUGUCUAGGGUUUGGUGGGAUGACAGAGACAGGGUACAAAUACAAACGCACGCUAGGUUGCCAUUGCUAGUUUGCAACCGAGCUCCUCCUCGUAGGCUCGGCUCCUCCCCUGUUCUGUUCUUGUGGCGUGCAGAGAAGGCAACUUAUUAACAGGUCAGAAAAGACGCUAGUAGUAUUUCUUUGUUUUCCGCUUGUGUUCCACACAAGUUGUUGCAUUGCAGGGAUUUCUCUCGCUGGUUCUCGUCAAAACCCGUGCGUUCUGACUUGUUGCUGAACGCGCGAGUACAUACCUCUGUACCUAUGAAGCGUGAGACGGUAUCAUUGUUCAGAUGCCAUACGACCCAAAAUAAUCCCAUCACCAUCAGUCAGGGUUCGCUUCGCUUGAAACAUGACCCUAGAUCACCCAAAAUUCAAAAACUUUUCAAAAUGAUCAUCCGUGGUGGCCGUCAGUGUCAGCAACUAGUGCUCCUACUAUUAGGCCCAAUGUUUAGGCCUGGUUUAGGCCUUGUUUAGUUUCGAAAUUUUUUUUAACUGAACGGAACUUGUUUAGUUCACACAAAAACCAAAAACUUUUUAAGAUUUCUCGUCACAUCGAAUUCUGCGGCACAUGCAUGAAGCAUUAAAUGUAGACGAAAAUAAAAACUAAUUACACAGUUUACCUGUAAAUCGCGAGAUGAAUCUUUUAAGUCUAGUUACUUUAUGAUUGAACAAUGUUUAUCAAAUAAAAAUGAAAGUGCUACAAUAUCUAAAACCAAAAAAAAUUCAGUAACUAAACAGGGGCAUGAAACAUCGUCAUCCCCCGCGAAGGGGCAUGGAUGCACCGUGCUGUGAUGUAUGUAUAAGUGUAUAACUGUUGUGCACAUAUACUAGGCAGCUAGCUAGCGCAGCACAUGGCCGUGGAUCCACAAUCCACAUGCACAACAGCAAGUCGCAAUGAAUAGCAGCACGAGUGACAAGAAGCUAUAGACAGAUUUUCUGCUUCGCACCAGGACCGAAAAUCUAAAUAAUUUUUAUAUUAUUUAGUAAUUGAUAUGUAAUCAUAGAUUAAUUAGACUUAUAAAAUUCGUCUACGCGACUACUCAACUGACGAGACAUCGUCCGCAGCGCUGCACAAUAGCACAUGGCCGUGUAUCCACAAGCACAAGAGCAAGUCGCAAUGAAUAGCAGCCACAGGUGACAAAAAUGGCACCAUGCUGAAGAGGCGCUGCUCCUCGAUGUACUGUACUAGAAACUGACAGAAAUCUAGCUAUCGGAUUGCACCACGUACGGUAACAGGUAUUGCAGGAGUACUGACAAACAGUGGCAUGGCAUGGCAUGACACGCGGCGGUGCUACAACCCUCCACGUCAGUCCAUCACGAUUCACGACGGUACGGCCCAAGUUGCUAGUAGAACGGGAAACGUUUAUUUAUUUAUAAAAACCACCACUAGUGUGGUUGUACAUUGACCGACCCAAGUGAUGGUACAAAAGUAAGUCGAUCUUUCAACUGGGGAAAAAACUGAUAAUUGGACUAGAAGAGGAGGAUGCAAGUCCUUUAAGUUUGUUUGACACAACUCAACUUUAGUAGUAAAAUUAUUUUUUAUAUAAACUUUAUAAACAACUUUCUAGAUGAAUCUAAGCUGUUUUGAAAAAAUUGUUAGAAAAAAUAGCUUCACCAACUGCUUUAUUCAGAAAUGAGAGAAAGAAAUAAGCUAGAAAGUUGCAAUCUUUUCCGCUUCAUCCCAACUCAUGUAUUUGUAAGACGAGAAAGAAAAAACAAUUUCACUCGUAAAACUAUUUUAAAAAUAUGUAUUUGGGAAAAAAAAAACCCUCAACAGUCCCCUUUGUAAGCUCGUGAUGUUGUUUGUUGGCCGGUGAUGCCGUGAUGGUAAAUACUAGUGUACGUACUGCCCUGUCAUGAGGUCCGUGGCAAAGCAGGAGGCGUCCACGUCAUCGGGCACAGUGGGCACUGCGCUACGAAGGGAAGGGGACAAGCAACAAGUGGAUCGUCGGAUCGGAUCGGGCGAUCGAGAAACCCCCCCCCCCCCCCACUCCAUUAUUUUUUUAUGCUGUUUCGGAUAGCAACGCCUCCGCUACCAGUUGUUUUUGUCGGUACAAAUACAAGUCACACGGACGGAAUAAGUAAUUAAAAUAUUAAAUUAAACGAGGCGCAAAAUGCAUACGCGUGGACACGUUCGCGUGCCCCGCCCGCGCGAUGCUGACGUGGCCGCACUAUUCAAGCCUGAUUACUUGUUUUGUUUUAUUGGCCGUAUUUUUUCUAUAAGCCAAUAGUAUUUCCUCUCACAAUAAAUCAGUGAGCCGUAACUUUUCCUAACAGCGGACCGGCUCUGUUCCGGAUCGGAUCGUGUCGGCGAUUUCUGCGUGUUAGGCUUGCAAUAUGCAAUGCCUGGUGGUUGGAUCGGCACGAUGCUUUGGGUCUUGUUUAGUUUGUAAAAAAUUUCAAGAUUAUUCGACAUAUCGAAUUUUUGGUCGCAUACAUUGAGUAUUAAAUAUAGAUGAAAAUAAAAACUAAUUACAUAGUCUAUCUGUAAUUUGUAAGGCGAAUCUUUUGAAUCUAGUUACUUCAUGAUUGGACAAUGUUUGUCAAAUAAAAAAACAAAAGUGCUACAGUAGCCAAAAACUAAAAUUUUUACGAACUAAACAAGGCCUGAAUGCAUGUAAACAGUAACAUGAGUAGCCCCUCGUACGUACAGUAUUCCACGUACUGGUUGUGAACGUGCAGGCUCGGUCCGCACGCGCGGCGACGUGCCGCCCGGCCCGCUCCGGUGUCAAAAAGGUCAGUCUGAGCCUGAACCUGAACCUGAAGCCACCCACUGCCUGCGCGGACCCACCCUCUCGUCUGGCCUCCCUCCCCUCCCCUCCCCCAGACGUGGGCCAGUACCCUACCAAUGGCCGGCCCCACCUGGUCAACCACGAGUAGCAGCAGCAGCGACCACCAGACCACCCCCCAGCCGCGUGUCCGCAUCCGCGUGGGCGUCGCCCUCCCGCCCGGCCCGGGUCUCCCGCGCCGCGGCUGCACCCACCGCGCUGACUCCCGAAACUACCCCCGGGUGGGGCCGCCGACGCCCCGGGCACCAGGCCAAGGGCAGCGCCGUAACCUCGCGCGGUGCCGGUGCAGCUGCUCUCUCCCCCGCGUCGCGUGCGUGUGCGUGUGCACGGGGCUCGGCCACGCGGACCAGACCUCCUGGCCCACGCCCGCGUCCGCCGCGGUCCCGCAUCGCACAACAAGUAGGAGGAGUACGUGGAUUUAGAUUACACAAACAACACACACAACUCGGUUUCUUUUUUUUACUAAUAAGGCCUUGUUUAGAUUAGAUGCGGAAAGAUUUUGGACACUUUCGUUUGUUUGUGGCAAAUAUUAUCCAAUUAUGGACUAACUAGGAUCAAAAGAUUCGUCUUGUGAUUUACAGGUAAACCGUACAAUUAGUUUUUAUUUUUAUCUAUAUUCAAUGUUUUAUGCAUGUAUCGAAAGAUUCGAUGUGACGAAUAAUUUAAUUUUUUUUCUUUGGUUUUUGGGGUGAACUAAACAAGGCCUAAUCAUCAUCACCAUAACCAAAUCCUUCUCCUGCUGAUUUGCUGGAGCCCUGACCUGGAGCACCGACCGACUGCCCUGACUGGUCACUGAUCAGCCCAGCACUGGCCGUGCGGGGGAUUAGGACUGUUUGUGUUGGACUGGUCUCCACCAUCCGUAGCCACCCCCGCUAGAUUAAUAAACUAAACCAACACUUUAUUCAUUUUUUAUUAUUAUUAUUAUUAUUAUUAUUAUUAUUAUUAUUAUUAUUAUUAUUAUUAUUAUUAUUAUUAUUAUUAUUAUUAUUAUUAUUAAAAUAAAAAGGCAAACGAGUACUCGUAGUAGUACAGCAGCAGUAGAAUAAUGGCCGCCGCCGCCGCCGCGCGCGCCUCCUGCCCUGCCGUGUCCCGUCGCACGAGCCCCAGCUGCGCGUCCUUUUUCGCCGAUCCGUCCCUGCGGAUCGCCGGAUUUGUGCGUCCGACGCGCACCGCACCAAUGCACGAUCAAUUUUAUUGUGCGUCGCCGUCGUGGUUAACCUCGCACGGUGCCGCACAUGCGCGCUAAUACAUGCCUGCUCACCCGAUUACUUUUCCCUUGCUGCUACAUUUACUUAUUACUAGCGGUUGGUAGGAGUAGUAUUAAUUAAAUUACUCCACCGUCCUUAAGCACGGUAAAUAGAGAGGACCAAUCAAGCGACACAUAACUUAGCUAGAAGAGCCAUGCAAUUAAAACAAAAACUAUUCUUGGGAAGCUUUAUUCUUGAUCUCUCUCCUAGCACAUGAUUUGCUUCAAAAAAAAGUCUGCAUGAUUCACGCUCGCCACCUGUCACAUCAGCUCUGAGAUCUACCACAGAUUUCCUUUGAGCUUUCCUUUCCAUGUCGCGGGGAGCACAACAAAAAUGGUUUCCAUAUUUCAUUCAAUUGAGGCCUUGUUUAGUUGUUUAGAUGCGAAAACCUUUUGAAUUUCGACACUGUAGCACUUUCGUUUUUUUUGACAAAUAUUAUCUAAUUAUAGACUAACUAAGAUCAAAAAAUUCGUCUCGUGAUUUACAGAUAAACUGUGUAAUUAGUUUUUGUUUCCGUCUAUAUUUAAUACUUCAUACAUGUGCCGCAAGAUUCGAUGUGACGGGAAUCUUGAAAACUUUUUGGUUUUUGGGUGAACUAAACAAGGCCUGAAACAUAUGAAUAAUACAGUAUAAUACUAGUUUACUACCAUUACACUAAAUUAUAAAUCAUUUACUUUUUUAGAUGUAUAACUUUUGCUAUGUAUCUAAAUAUAUACUGGUUGUGUCGAUAAGUGUAUAUAUCCUCGUAAUUCUUUGGGCCAUUAUUAUUACACGACAUCACGACACAAAAACCCAUCGACACCACAAUUCAACUCCAAGGGCUCGUGAACAAUUAUAAGAUCACUCAAGGGCCGUCACAUAAAAUUCAAAACCACCCCAAAAAAAAAUUCUAAACAAAAACCCGGAAACAUUCCAAAACCCAGAGCCCCAGAGGAAUAUUUUGCGCCCACAAAAACAAAUAAAAAGCGCUGCUAGUACUCCACCUCGCCACUAAACUACUCCAACCGCCAUGAUUAGCCCCCGACGAGAGCUUCCAGCUUCUGACUGAGACCCUUUCUUCCUAAUCCUUCUUCCGUAAACCAAAUAAACUAAUCCCCUUCCCCCCUAAUCGCGUCAUCCCCACACAUAUAUACGUACCACCACCACGCCACCUCCCCCACCCCAUCACCAUUCCCUCCUCCACCUCCACCGCCACCAACGCCGCCGCACGCAAUCCAAUCUCACCGGAAAAACGCCUGCUUGGGUUGAGCUGAGCCGGAGCCGCCAUGUGCCCGCGGACCCGCUGAGCCAAAACCCCCCGCGCGCUCCUACCCUACUACCGGCCGUUCCCUUCCCCUCUCCAAGAUCCGCGCUUUGAUUCGUCCGCCGCCGCCGACGCCGAGACCAUGCCGGCCACGGACCUCCAGGGCUCCUCCCCGUCGACGCACUCCCACUCCUCCCCGUUCUCUUCCUUCGGCCGCACACUCCUCUCCCUCCGCCGCGACGCCGCCCCGUCCGCGGCGGCAUCCGCGAUGCCGCAGCCCGGGUUCGUCGUCGACCCGGAGCUCGAGGAGUUCCACGCCCACGUCGCCGCGCACCUCGCCGAUCUGAGGGCACCCGGCAGCGCUGGCGGGGAGGAGGAGGACGACGACGAGGAGUUCAUGUCCAUCCCGUGGAUCCGGCGCCUGCUGGAGGUGUUCCUGCUGUGCCAGGACGAGUUCCGUGUGGCGCUUGCCGAGGCGCGCCGCCGACGCGGCGGCGGCGGGGCGACGUCCCCCGCAGCGGAGAAGCUGGUGGCGGAGUUCGGCGAGCGCGCCGUCAAGGCGCUCGACGUCUGCAACGCGGCGCGCGACGGCGUCGACCAGGCCCGCCGCUGGGAGCGCCUCGCGGGCAUCGCGGCCUCCGCGCUGCUGGUGCCGGCGGCCGCCGGCGCCGAAGGACAGGGGCAGAUCCACGAGGGCCAGCUCCGGCGCGCGCGGAAGGCGCUCUCGGACCUCUCCGUGCUCCUCAUCGACGACGCCGCCGCCGCCUCGGUGGGCGCCGGCGGUGGGCUCGCCUCGUUCCUCUCGUCCCACCGCAACCGCUCCUUCGGCCGCGCGCGUGCCUCCCCCUCCCGCGCCUCCUCCACUUCCUCCUCCUCGUCGCCCUCCGCGCACUUCCGCUCCCUCUCGUGGAGCGUGUCCCGCACCUGGUCGGCGGCGCGGCAGCUGCAGGCCAUCGGGGCCGGCCUGGCGGCGCCGCGCGCCAACGAGGCGGCCGCGGCCUCGGGCCUCGCGGCGCCGGCCUACGCCAUGGGCUGCCUGCUCCACCUCGCCGCCUGGGCGCUCGUGGCCGCGGUGCCCUGCCCGGACCGCGCCGCCGCGCUGCAGGCACACCACCACCACCUCCCGUCCCCGCCGCCGCGCGCCGCGUAUCCCUGGGCGCCGCCGCUGCUCGCGCUCCAGGAGCGCCUCGCGGAGGAAGGGAAGCGCAAGGACCGCCGCAACUCGUGCGGCCUGCUCAGGGAGAUCCACGCGCUGGAGAAGUGCGCGCAGAGGCUCGCGGAGGCCAUCGACGCCGCGCCCGUCCCGCUCACGGGCGAGCGGGAGGCCGAGGUUCGUGAGGCGGCGGCCGAGCUCGCCGCCGCGUGCGCCGCCAUGAAGGACGGGCUGGACCCGCUGGAGAGACAGGUCCGGGAGGUCUUCCACCGCAUCGUGCGCAGCCGGAUGGAGGGCCUCGAUUCGCCGAUGCUCAAUGCCGAUUGAGCUCUGUCAAGAUCAACAUCAUCAUCAUCAUCUUGCCUGCCUUUGAUCAUCUUGCAAUGUGGCGGUGCUAGGUAGCUAUCCUCUUCUUCUUUCUCUCGCUCUUGUGAUCAGCUAGUGGUAAGUAUAAAAUGUGUAUCCUUCUGUAAAGGAUUAUUACAGGAAAGGGAAAGGGAAAGGUGUCAUCUUUAGGUAAAGAUGAUUCCUUAUUCUUCCCCAUGUUUUGAUGCUGCAUUUGGUGUAUAUCGUCGCGUUUUUGAUAGUGUCGCGUCUGUGUGCAGCUAAUUCUCGAGCAACUUGUGUCUCUUUGGGAAUGUGAGUUUCAUUGACAAUGCUAACAACCAGGAAAAAAAAUAUAUAUGUAGUUUAAAUUUGCACAUUACUUGGUUCUUUUAUUUUUGGAUUACCAAGUUCUGCUCUUUGGAUCCUUCAUUCUGGAGGUCUAUUUAGGCUUUAUUCAAUCAGCAUCAGUGUUGCAAAGAAAUGACAAUAAUUGUCGUAAAAUUGUGGUAAUCGAAUUGUGACACAACAACUGCAAAUCCUUGGUGAUCAAUUUGUGAGAAGUCAGAUUUUUUCAGAAUUCUAAAUGGGCUCAUGUAGUGCAUGAUUUGGUUGCGUGUCUCAAUCUGGCAAUAUGUCUACAAGUGGUAUAUUGUGGAUUGCUCAUCUGCAUUAUGAAUUGAUUGACUUGUGUGAUGUAUCAAUAUAUUUAUUAUGAGUUGCAAAGUGGAUACCUGAAGAAUAGGACCAUAUGAGAUGCGUCCUUUAUAUAAAAAAUAAAUUGGGUCUGGAUGCAUGGUAUAGCAUAUUUCAGAAUAGAAGCCUCAACCUUCUCGAUGGAGAAGGAAAAACAAGUUGAUUCAAGAUAUUUUCAAGGUAUUGAAAAGGUCCUGAUCACGGAGAUUGCGUAUCGUUUCGUUUUCUGUACUUAAUGAAAAAUUGCAGUAUUUGGGUUUAUGCUUUGCCAUGGUCUGCAAUUUGUGCAGUAGGUGACAGAGACCAUUUCUGAUUCUCGAGUAAAACUUGUGUUGCAACAAACAUGUGCGAUUCACUUCGCAUAUUGUGCCGUUCGUUGGUACUUCUAAAAAGAGAUACGGCCCUCUUAUCCAAAUAUUGUGCCGCAUAUUGUUUCAAUGUCAUUCCAGAAGCUUUACUCUGGGAUUUGUUCUUGGUAUCUUGCGUGCAAACUUGAAAGAAAUGCGGCAGUCAGUUGAGUCUAAAUCUGGCAACAUGUGAUCGUGGAUUGCUCUACGCAUGAUGAUGAUGAAUUGAUUGACUUGGGUGCAAGAGCGAGCUAUAUUUCUGGGAUGCAGAGAGAAUAUCUGAAGGAUAGCAAUGGGAUUAAACUAUAUGUAGCUUUCACAUUGAAUAAAUUGGUGUUACAAUAUUUCAGAAUAGAAGGAAGAAGCUGCAACUUUUUCAGUAAGAGGACCUGCAUGAUAUUUUGAAGGCACAAAUAAAUAAUAAUAAUGAAGAGGUCGUGAUCAAGGCGAUAACAAAACCCAAAUUUCCAUACCUGACGAAAUGACAGUAUAUAUGUGUUUCAUCCAAAUCUCUGAGGCUGUUUAUUCACGCUGCUUUUAGUGCGGCAGUUGGAUGUACUCUUUUCUUCUCCUACUCUAGUGCCAGCCAUCGUCAGAUUGUACUAGGAAAGACGAGGCCAAAAAGCUAGUGUCGCUACCUGAGCUGUAUAUUUUUAAUCAGGUUGGACUAAUCCCUUGCUGCUAAUAAACUAUUGCCGGACUAAUCCCUUGCUGUUAAACUAUUGCCCUUUCUAAGAUGGCACCUGCACACCACGUAGACUUAAUUUGGUAACUGUACUUAUUCCUAAUAAUGGUCAUCGACUCUGAUCCCUUUUUAAGAAUAUAAGACUCUUAUCCCUUUUUAAGAAUAUAAGACUCUACCUUUUUAACAUAAACACAAGACGAAUACAUAUACGGAGUACUGUCAUUGCUGAUGUUGUUUUACAGUCUGGUUGCAAGAAGCGACAGCUCAGCUUUGUACUACCUGCAGAAUGCCGUCGCCAGUUGGAUGAAGAAUGUUUCAGCAGAACCUGACAAGUGUCCACAAUACUGUGCAGAACAGAGGAAACACCGAGGAAAAGAUCCUAUGAUCUCUCAUUGUGCCCCCUUUUUUUUUUACUCAUGAUCAUCCCUGAAAGAAAAAUGCAGCAGGGUGAGGUUUCCACCAUCAUUAGCACGCAUCAUGAUGCAUCGUCAGCAACUAUCAUCUGCCAUGUGCCCUCUGUAACCUCGCUCACUAACCUCUUCCUUUUCUUUUUCUUUUUUUUUUUGCUUCAGUAAAGCAUGCAUGCAUUAUCAUGGCAUGGCUUGCUGCUGGCUGCUGCAGGUUCACCUGCCACACAUGAGCCUGUUCACAUCACGUAGGCAAGAGGAGGCAAGAGGUGGUCUCUGACUUUUUUUUGUAUUUUGCCUGGGCAUGGGCACGAGCAUCUCCGUCGUCAACUCGCCAUUAUCAUCGUCCUCAUCAUUGUCACUUUUCAUCAGUUUCUGUACGUACACAUCAAGGCCUUGUUUACUUCUAAAAAAUUUUACAAAAUAAGAAUAAUAGCACUUUCGUUUGUAUUUGACAAAUAUUGUUCAAUUAUAAAUUAACUAGGCUCAAAAGAUUCGUCUCGUCAAUUUCGACCAAACUGUGUAAUUAGUUUUUAUUUUUAUCUAUAUUUAAUACUCCAUGCAUACGUCUAAAGAUUCGAUGUAACGGAGAAUCUAAAAAAUUUUGCAAAAUCUUUGAGGAACUAAACAAGGCCCAAACAAUCUAGGGGCUUAGUAUUUACUAGUUCUAAUUUUUUUUUUUGAAUUUAACUGCCGUAGCAUUUUUUAAUUUAUCUAAUAAUUCGUGCGUGCGGCUGCCGCGAGCUCUAGGGCGUGUUUGGUUGCCCGCAUAUGGGCAAACCAGGCUCCCUGGAUGCAGUCUUUCGGUGUUUGGUUCCCUUCUCUUCUCUCUAGCCUGGCUUAGCGCGUGCAAAAAGACCUCCGGAGCCAGGCUCCCAAGCUACGCUCGAAUCGGCCGUUUUUCUUCAGCCUGGCUCGCUCCGUGCUCUCGCGUGCUCGCGCGCUUACGUGGCUAACGGUGUAUUAGUGCAUGAUUAGUAAAUAUCAAGUGAUAUUAGUGUACUUUAAAGUUGAUUAAGAUAUAAUUAGAUAAAAUAAGACAUGUAAGAGUGUAUUCGUACAAAAAUAAAAAUUAUAAUCAUAAUUUUAUAAUAUUUUUUAUCUCAUACAGUUUACCUUGGUACAGGCAACCAAACAAUAUCUAAUCAGAGCCUGGCUCCACAUAUGUAUGCAACCAAACUAGGCUUCCAGCAUGCAUCCACCCAGACCAAAAGCAGGCCAAAGACAGCCUGGCUCACUAGAGCUAGCCUGGUUGGGAUCAGAAGGGACAGGCCCCUAGCGUCUGGAAGCGUUUGUGUUCUCCAUUGCCGACUCAUCUCUCUAGCUGCUGGUGGUGGUGCUGCUGGCUGCUGGGGGCAAGAGAAGAGGACAAGCAUCGCCGCAGCCCGCAGGUGUGGUCGGCUCACCUGCCGCGGCUGUGCUGCAGCUCUGCAGCGUGCGUGAGACAUCGAUGGUCCCGUUCCGGCGUUCCCACAUUAUUGGGCCUGGGCCGGCCUGGACGUCACCAGUGCGUCAUGCUUGCGUCACCUCGCCGUCAGGCACGGGUCCAUUCUGUCAGUCUCAUGCUACCAAAGCCCGGUGCCUUUGCCAAAUCGGUUUUCUUUUUUUUUUCUUUUUUCCUCUUGCAUGCAAAAUAAAAAUAGGGAGAUUUCAGAAAAUCAUUUGCAUUUCUCAUUUCUGAGAUAUUUUUUACUACCUGUACUCCUAUAUACAUCUGAGUCUGAGCAGAAUUAAUUCCAUUGUUUGGGAUGGAUUGUAUUAUGUAGUAAUUAAGGCCGUGUUUAGUUCCCAAAAAGUUUUGCAAGAAAUUUUAGAUUUUCCGUCGCAUCGAAUCUUGAGACACAUGCAUGAAGUAUUAAAUAUAGACGAAAAUAAAAACUAAUUACACAGUUACCUGUAAUUUACGAGACGAAUCUUUUGAGCCUAGUUAGUCCAUAAUUGAACAAUAUUUGUCAAAUACAAACGAAAGUACUACCGUACCCAAAAUCCUAAAAUUUAGGCAACUAAACAAGGCCUAAUUCUAGUGAUGAUAUUCGUAGGACAUUCUUAGCCCAGCCUUGGCCCAUGACACACAAGCAAAAGCAAGCCUUUGAACAGGCCCACCAAGGCUGGCACACACCAAGGCCCACUCGGCAUGUUUCGAUUAGGGGAAACAAAAAAGCAACGUAUCAUAUGCAACCCAGCUUCAUAUAUAACCUAUGCAACCACCAAUUAAAGUCACAGGGUCUAGAUCUAACGUCUGAGGUUUUUUUCACUUAAACCCCUCCACCUGUGGGUUUAAAUCUAACCCGUGUGUAUUCAAAAGAGAGGGUUUAAGUGAAAAAACCUCAGACGUUGGAUCUAGAUCCUGUGGUCUUAAUUGGCGGUUGCAUAGGUUGCAUACGAAGCUGGGUUACACAUGAUAUGUUCCCAACAAAAAGUUCAUUCUAAUUCUAAAACCGUAUAUCCAUCUAUCUACUACAAUUUUUUCUCCAUACAUAAAACUCUAAAACCGUAUAUCUAUCUUACUCCACACUCUUAAAUUCAUACUACCAAUUAUCUCCCUGCCAUAGUUUCAAGUGUUUCCCAAUGUAGCUUUCGUAUUCAUUAGUUAAAAAUCCGGUAAAUAUUCGAUAAGGUUUUUAAAAACUAUAUAAAAUAUAUCUGUUUAAACAAAUUCCCAGAAAAAAAAUCCUAGACAUAGAUUUGGACAUGAAAAAUUCAAAAGAAAGUUAGAGCUCGUGAAAAUAUCUCUAGAUGCUUAAAAAAACAGUUUUUUAGCUAUAAGAAAAAUGGGGAAAAUAAGAUCUAUAAAAACAUUCUAAUCGAUGUCUAAACGCAUUUUGAAAACUUAAAAAAAAAACAUAAGACACAAAGAGCACAAAUACGUAGUGUGAACACAUUCAAUAUUAACAAAUGUUGGAUCCAUGCUAGUUGCAUCUCUUAUAUAUUUUUUUGAGUAAAUUAGAAGCUUAUAGAGAUAUUUUCAAGAGAUCUAAAUAUUUUUAUUUGGAUUUUUCAUACCUCACUAUUUCUAAGAUUUUUAUUCUAAAUUUUCAAAAGCUUAGAGGCAUUUUUUUUUGUUUUAAAACCUUAUCAACUAUUUUAUCGGAUGGGAAAAUUGGCUGCUAGACAUUAAAAGUGACCACUCUUUGCUGCUGAACAUCCAAAAUAGACUAAUUUGCUAGAGGACACUCUGACUUUGGAGGAGAGAUAAACACAGUAAAAUGUCCUUUUUGUCCCUUGCCAAGAGGGAGCUCAAGGGGGGCCACGGUACCUCACCACGGCCACGCCCUAGCAGGACAUGAGUGGGUUCACUAGAUCAAACCGAGAGAUGACAUCGUGCGGCUAUGCCCUAAAGCCCGUUGUGUUCCAUGAUGGCCGGCUAGCAUCCACGCCGACAGUGGUUGCCAUGCUCGCCAUGUACAUCUCCUUCCCCUUCGGCGUCGUACGUACUUGCCUUAAUCCACAUUGCUAUCUAUAUACUCCUAGAAAAAGAAGAAAGAGAAAAACAAAAUUUUAUGGAGAUUAAGACAAAGGUAUUACUUAGGAUUUUUGUUUUGGUGAUCAAGAAACCAUAGAUGGUGUGAUUACGUUUAUUAUGAACUAGGAGGAUUCCCCGCGCGUUGCCACGGGUAUGAAGGAGGAGUAUAAGUAUAUAACUCUUUUAUUAGCAUAAUCAUGGAUAUUGUAUUCAUAGUGGAUGAUGUUGUCUUGUUGAUGGGGAUAUCAUGAUUCUUGUGCUUGUGAACAUUAAUGCAAAAGUCAGUAGAUUGCUGAGGUGGACACCUUGUAUGUCAAGAUAAAUUGAUAGUGGACUGCGGGGUGGAUGUUUUGCAUUUUAAGAUAAAUAGAUAGUGGGGUUGAUAGUGGAUUGUUGAGGUGGACGCCUUGCAUGUCAAGAGAAUUAGAUAGUGGGGUUUUGCUUUAUAAGAGUUAUAGAUAGCCGUACUAUAAAGAGGAGAAUUCUUUGGCUAAGUGGUCAUCGAGUGCCACUAGGUGUUAUUAGUCAUGUGCAUGCAUUUAAAACCUAGUGUGCUGACUUAACCCUUAAAAAUAUUUGUAAAAGUAUGCUAACACACGUGCACAAGGUGGUACACUUGGUGGUUAGCACAUUUGAGCAAGGGUUGAAGAAGUGGAGAGGGAUUUGGGUUUCUCUCUCUUCCACCGAGCUUGAGAGGUGGGGAUUCAACAUUUUUGAGAAAAUAAAAUGCAUAUUUUUAUUGCAUCGGAGGCCGAGUUGAAGAGGAGGCGAAGUCGUGGGAGCGUUAGAAACACUCACCGGACAUUGGCCACGGAGGCGUCGGACGUUGGCCCAGCGUCUGGUGUGUUGUGGGUAAGUGUCGCUCUUCUGUGCCGGGCGUCGAAGCGUCCGACGGGUUCGUGUUGGACGCAAGGCAAACACUGUGUUUCAACGUCCGGUGUUUUGUGUUGUCAGCAGAGUAACGAGCAGUCAGUUGGUCCAUAUAUUUAGGUUAGAUGAAUGUUGAAUAAAUAGAUUAAAUAAAAUGAAAGAAAAUUAAAAAAAAUUAAGAGAUGGAUACUAACUCUCGGUUUCACUAAUGGUUGAUCAAGCAUGUUUGACUUGUUAAAAUUUGUUUAAACUUGAAAUACAAGCUAGGAGAGUUGAUGCCGUGACAGCAUGCGGCUGCCGAGAGCUGUGGCGUUUUGGAUUUCCAUGGACGGCGCACUACGUUGCCCUGAUGCCCAGAAAUGUAUGCAGGAAAAACUUAUGAACGCUAGAGCAGAGAACGUUACAACACUAGUUAAGGCUGAAAAGUUACAACCCGGUUCAUUGGUCUGAAAAGUUAAAGCUGAAAUUACUGUUGGCUGAUUUAUUGUGAGACAAAAACACUGCUGACAGUGAUGGUCAAGCCAUUCCGUGAUUCAGCUAGACGAAAAUUUGAAGGUAGAAAUUUUUGCUAUUUAAUAUUGGGUAUAUUAAGUAUAAGUGAUUGUGUCAUCGAGAUGGAAUAAUCUGCUAUAAAUAUAGUGUUUAGUGGUGGUGAGUUGAUAAUAGGGAGAUUUGAUAAUCACUAUCACAAAAGAAAUGAUAUAUAACCAUUAACCACUGAGUGAGACUAGGGAUACUAAGCCUUUCAUCGAGAAGAAAGGUAGAAUUAACAUCAACUUAGUCAAUGACUAACUGACACAUUACAGAACAGGUUUGUAGAUCCUAGCUAGGCCCUAGCCACACCACACCAUCCCGGCUGUGUGAGAGUCUACUCCCGAGCACCAACACCAUAACGCCUACGUCACCUCACCCAGGCACGCAUGGGACAACAGCGGCACUAAGGGCAUCUUCAUCUCUUUGAUGAGUCAAAUUAAGUGUAAAUUAGUUGUAUUAGGAUUUCUGUGGUUAGGCUAGGUGAUCUUAGGUGUAUCAAGUCUAGUACAAGAGACACACAUACAAGCAGAGCACCGUCCAUGUACUAAAACUCAUCAUAAGUUAAAAAAAAUAAAAUAAAAGUAGAAGCUUGGUGUUUAGUUAUGAAAUCUUCCGCUAUGUUAUGUGCUGCAGACUUCAGAACAUACAAAAUGGUUAUUUGCAUAUUACAUCAUAUCAUCGACAUGGGAUGACUUUGCUAUAACCUUGUUUAGUUCGCAAAAAAUUGGUUUUUGACUACUGUAGCACUUUCGUUUUUAUUUGGCAAACAUUGUCCAAUCACGGAGUAACUAGGCUCAAAAGAUCUCAUAAAUUACAGGUAAACUAUGCAAUUAGUUUUUAUUUUUGUUUAUAUUUAAUGCUCCAUGCAUACGACCAAAGAUUCAAUGUGACACGGAAUCUUGAAAAUUUUUGUGAACUAAGACCUUGUUUAGAUACACCAAAAAACAAAACUUUACAAGAUUCCCCGUCACAUCGAAUCUUGCGGCACAUGCAUGAAGUAUUAAAUAUAGAUAAAAAGAAUAACUAAUUGCACAGUUUACCUGUAAAUCACAAGACGAAUCUUUUAAGCCUAGUUACUCCAUAAUUAGACAAUGUUUGUCAAAUAAAAACGAAAAUGCUACAGUGUCAAAAUCCAAAAACUUUUUGCAUCUAAACAACAAGGCCUAAAGAUGGAGCCGAUGUGCAAGUUGGAAUUAACAUCAUUACUAGUAGCAAACCUACGAACACAAGGUCGAGAAGUACCCUUGUGGUACGUUUUGUGAGGAGUGAUUGUCAACGUGAUCCACGAAUAGGUUGAGUUGGUGACUAACAUUACCAUAGCGAAAGCUAUAUGUGCGACAUGUCUCUUGGCUUGUGGUGUUCAGCUUUGGAGCCCGGAGGCGGUGGUCGACGGCGAGGUGAAGGUCAAGUAGAGACGUGCCGUGCCGAUGGACCCGGAGCGGUGAAAGGCGGACGUGAGGCUUGGACCGACGGACCAGGACGCUGGAUGACCAGCUGUGGUGGCUGACAUCUGAGACAGUGACAAGUGCAAGUGUACAUGGGAGUGACCGUGUUAACCAUGUUUUUAAACUCCACAAAGCCUUGUAUGGUCUAAAACAAGCCCCGAGAGCCUGGUAUGAGCGUUUGAAAGCCUUCUUGCUUGCAAAGGGUUUUAAAAUGGGUUCUGUUGAUAAAACUUUGUUUCUCCUCAAGCAAGGCACUGACACUCUUUUGGUUCAGAUAUACGUGGAUGAUAUCAUUUUCGGUGGCUCUUCUCAUGCACUUGUUGGCAAGUUUGCAGAAACUAUGAGCAGGGAAUUUGAGAUGAGCAUGAUGGGCGAGUUGACGUUCUUUCUUGGUUUGCAAAUCAAGCAAACUAGAGAAGGGACAUUUGUGCACCAAGGCAAGUACACCAAGGACGUACUCAAGAAAUUCGAUAUGGGCGAGGCCAAGCCUCUCUCGACGCCCAUGUCGACCACGACGGCCCUAGAUGCAGAUGAAGAAGGAGAAGCUGUGGACCAGAAGGAGUACCGUAGCAUGAUCGGGUCACUGCUGUACCUGACGGCGACAAGACCGGACAUCUAGUUCGCGGUCUGCUUGUGUGCGCGCUUUCAGUCUUCGCCACGCACAUCUCAUCGUCAAGCCGUCAAGCGGAUCUUGAGGUACCUUCGUUUCACACCUGAGUUUGGUCUUUGGUUUUCAGCUUCCUCCUCUCUUUCUCUUUGCGGCUAUUCUGAUGCGGAUUAUGCCGGCUACCGUGUUGAGCGUAAGUCCACGUCGGGGACUUGCCAGUUUCUUGGGACUUCUCUUGUGUCUUGGUCCUCUCGCAAGCAAUCCUCAGUUGCUCAAUCCACCACAGAAGCCGAGUAUGUUGCUGCUGCUGCUUGCUGCUCCCAGUUGCUUUGGAUGAUAGCCACUUUGAGAGACUUUGGGUUAGAGUUUAGGCGAGUGCCUCUGCUUUGUGAUAGCACCAGUGCCAUAAGCGUUGCUAAAAACCCAGUCCUCCACUCAAAAACCAAGCAUAUAGAUGUCCGCUUUCACUUCCUGCGUGACCACUAUGAGAAAGGAGAUAUUGACCUACACCAUGUUGAUACCCAAAAUCAGCUUGCAGACAUCUUUACCAAACCCCUUGACCAAACCCAGUUUGCUCGCUUGCGAGGGGAGCUUGGUGUUUGUUUCCCUUUUUAGUUGAGGGGAACUUUGCUCUUUGUACUCUAGUUUUGUUUUCUUUUAGUUUAGUUUUUAUUUUAUUUUUUGUAUCAUAUUGCAUGCAUUUCAUCUCAUCAUGUAUAUUAGAGCAUUUUGAGCUUCAUGAUUAUAGUUGUUAGAUUGAGAUUAUGCUCUUUGUGAUAUGUCUUGUAUGUACAUAAUGGUGCUUGUCGCUUAGGCUCUUUUUGAUCACUUGAUGCAUGUUAUGAGCUAAGCUGUUUUACAACUAGUGAACUUGACAUAAACCUGUUGAAACCUGAAAAUUGUUCACCAUUGUCAUUGGCAACUAGCAUGUGUAGGAUGUGUUGAGAUCACUUGAGCUAUCAUUUAUAUGCUAGGUUGCUAUGUCUCAUGCUUUGAGUUAUACGCUUGCUUGGACAACUUGCAAAAUCUUGUGCUAAAAAUUGAAAAGCAAGCUAAGUGAAAAGAAAAGAUCGAGAUGGGUCUGUACUGUCCUACGUCAAGGUAUCGAGACUGCUUCCAAUUGCACUUAUGGAUGAACUUGAGCCUUGUAGUGGAUGCCGAGAUCAUUGUCUUAAGCUUGCGAUUGUCUCUGACAUAGGCUUGGCAUGGUCGAUAAGUUGGUUUGAUGGUACAGAUAACCUCUCGCACCCACACAUGUUUUUGACUAAACCUUGUGAUAUGCUGCAAACUCCGAUAAAAUGAAAAUUUGAUGAAAACACAAGUCUAAAGUUAGUCUUUGACAUGAUGUAUGAACGCUGCUUGGGGUUGUUCACCUUGUAUACACUUGUUAGCACUAGGUUGAUUUCCUACUUAUACCUGCUAUGUGCUACUUUCAGUGGUGAACUCCUUCUUACAAUUGCUUAAAAUUGAUCAAAAAUGCUUAGAUGCCAUAUUUCGUUUCACUUGAUCAGUUUGAGCAUUUGCUAGCACUUGUACUUAUUGCUAUACACACAUGACAACACCACCUAGAGCAUCUUUUCAAUAUGAUUGCUAUACUCCUGAAGCUUCUGCAUUUGUGCAUUCCUUGCAUUCAUAGCAUGAUUUGAGGGGGAGUUGCACUCCUUUGGGCAAAUCGUGAUAAGUGCAUGUGCCAGCAAGGGAGAGAAAGUCACACAUAAAAAUAUAGACAUGCAUUCAUUUGAGAGAGAUUGCAUUUGCUUAGGGGGAGUUGCAUUUAAGUUGCUUGUGCUAGAUGUGUUGAGCCUUUGCCUCUUCUGGAGGGUCUAGCUAUUUUCUGGCUUUUUGAGCCUUGCUAGUGGUGUUGAGCCCGUUGUCUCUUCUUGAGAGCUAGCUUUGUGGUUCUUGAUCGUGUCGAGCCUUUGCCCAUGUCUUUGGGGAUCAAGCUUUGUUCAUUUAAAAUGACACAUUUCUGGCUUCUCUUUGGCUUUUGGUCGUUUCAGUGAACUCUUUGCUUUUCCCUUCUUUUUCUUUUCUUUUGCUCAAGCUGUUCGUGUGAGGAUGUUGACAAUGCACUCAUCAAGGGGGAGAUUGCGAACACAAGGUCGAGAAAUACCCUUGUGGUACGUUUUGUGAUGAGUGAUUGUCAACGUGAUCCACGAAUAGGUUGAGUUGGUGACUAACAUUACCAUGGCGAAAGCUAUGUGUGCGACAUGUCUCUUGGCUUGUGGUGUUCAGCUGUGGAGCCCGGAGGCGGUGGUCGACGGCGAGGUGAAGGUCAAGUAGAGACGUGCCGUGCCGAUGGACCCGGAGCGGUGAAAGGCGGACGUGAGGCUUGGACCGACGGACCAGGAGGCCGGAUGACCAGCUGCGGUGGCUGACAUCUGGGACAGUGACAAGUGCAAGUGUACAUGGGAGUGACCGUGUUAACCAAGUCAAGACGGCAGACGCGAGUCGAGCGAGGCUCAAGAGGACUUAGCGGGCCGGCCGGUCGAGGACGACAGUGACACGUGUCGAGUGGCGGGGAAGCGUAUGGAGUACGCUACUCGCGGCGGGUUUCGCGGGUUUGGGCCUCAAAACCCGGGCGGAGGUCCCGAUGCGGACGGAUGGCACGUGGCGGCAUCGGUGAGAUCGCUUCGGAGCGAGGCUACCGGUGAGGAGGCGCGGUGGCCGUCGGAUUUAGGUCAUGUCGAGUUGGACUAGAAUGCCCCUGGGGCUAGCUAGUUCGCUCAAAAAUAUCUAUGGACAUCUGGAGAAUAUGUAAUAUGCCUGAUAAAUAAGCGGAGAGAGUUCCCCAUCUCCCUCACCUCUCUCUCCCAACAGUUAUUCUCCCUUUCUCUACUUAGGUUUGGCUUUCAAUUUCUGGUUCUAGGGAGAGGUCCUCAGAUUAUUCACUUAUCUGUGUAAUUUUGAGUUUGGAAUCUGUGAUCUGAUGGGAAGUGAGGCCCUUACCUCACGUUGCCGUCUGGGGUUCGUUUCCUGGUGUUGGGUGUUCUGAGUCUGUUGUUCAUGGCUCCUUUUUCUCUUCCUGCUUCUUGCUUCUUCAAAUUUUUGGAGUUGUUUUGGUGGGUUUCGGUUGAUCCAUGACGAGCUAUGACAUGUGCUGAGUUAAUUUGUUCAGUGAAUCACUCCAUUUUCACAUGAGCUCAUAGAUCGAUCUGAUUUUCGUUUCUGGGAGAAAAACUCGUUUUUGUCCAAUUUGAAUAUUUUCUGGAGCUUGGAUCGAUUAUAGGCAAUGAUUUUUUGGGGAAUAGUUUCGUUUCCAGUUGAAUUUGAUCUAUGCAAAGUUUGGGAGCGAUUCCUUUUGUUUUGACUGAGUUCUAAUCGAUUUUGUGCUCGCUCUUUUCUGUUCUUUCAGUUUCCGUGUUUCUCGCGCAGCCCCGAACCCAAGCCACUGCAGCCGCGUUCUUCUUCAGGUCCCCGACGUUUGGCCGUGCACAGCAGCAGUGCUUCAGGCUUCAGCACUGGGAAGUUCAUGGCACAAGGCAGUAGCACUACCAGCGCUGGUGCCUAAGCACCGAGCGUGCUCGCUGAGCAGUACUUGCUCCUUGGCCCUGCUGAAAUUCCGGUCAGCAGCUCCCUCAGUUUUUUUUUCAGCUUGUUUUGCUGCAUCUUGUUUGCUGUUCGUGCAGUUGCAAGCAGGGGAUCGUUCGUAGGUGCAAACUAAAGCAGAUUCAGCACUGGUGUUUUUUUGAGCAAGUGGACCAGCUCAUUCUUACAUGUUUCUGAUUAGUCAAUGGUUUAGUUUUAGCAUCUCGUGUGCUUUCUGUGCUUGAUUUUGAUUGGUCAAGUUUGCUACUUGCACUCGUGGUAGUGUCCAGCUCUCAUCAGUACGGCUUAUAUUUGAUUUCUCUGAACUCAAUUUCAAUCAAUGCAGUAUCUGUUUGUUGGUACAAGUUCAGGAUUCUAGGGCCAACAGUUUCAUUGUCUCAGCUCUGAACCGUGCAGCACAUUUAGGUCCAAGUGGCCCAUUCGUUUUGGUCCAGUGCUAGUGAGAUGUUUGAACGAUUUUCUGACUGAUUUUUUAGUGUAAUUUUUCAGACCUUGAUUUCUUGUUUUGUCCGCAGUUUGGUCGUUUGAGCUCGGAAUCGGAUUCCGUCAGUUGCGUUGGUUUUCUAUUGUUACAGGAAAUUUAUCUAAGUGCUCUUGUCACCGGUUGGCUUGAGUAAUUUAGUUUCGAGAUGCUCGUUUGUGUCUGGUGGUGCUUUGGGACAGUGGCCAAAAAUAUUUCUGAAGAAAAUUUACGGCUCCCAUUCACCCCCCUCUGGUCGCCGAUUUUGGUCGUUCAAAACCGAUGAAACAAAUAAAACACUGGGAGAUUUUUGCAGCAGCUGCCAACACCACGUAAGGUACUCUUGCUGGCACUGGCACGCGAGACCAGCAGCAGCGGCGGACAGAGCGGAGCAGAACAGCAACACAGGCAGAGCAGCAGGCAGCAACGUCAAGCCGUCAACUAGAAGCAGUCUGGAUUUCACUGCAGACAAGCAGAGAGAAGAAUUGUGAGCAUAAAUAAAGACAUUAUUUACGUUGAUGAAUUAAUUCUGCUGAAAAUAAAGAAAACGAGAAGGUAAAGCUUCUAGUGCACAGGAUUCGCUGACCUGUUGGUCGUUGUUGGUGUGAUCACUUGUGAGAUCUCUCUGGCAGGCAUGGUCAAGAAUGGAUUCUGUUGCUUCCACCUGCGCAUGGGAGAUCCUUCAACGUCUUCCAGGUCAUGGUAGCUUCGGUCAUCUGAUAGCCGCAGGACAGGAUGAUUGGGGUGUGUGUUCACUUCUUCUUCCAACAUACCAAGCCUGGCGACCGUAGAAUCACCGAGUGAAAUCACCUUCAGACAUAAAAGGUGCUUGACACCAAUAAUCCCUGACUUCAAAUUGCAGAAAUUGAUUUCUAUCCUUUCCAUCUGACGGGAGGUGCCCUCCUCAAAUCUAAUCUCUUUCAGGCCGUCCAUAUUCCAAAUCUCAAGUGUCCUGAGGUUCAGGAAUGCUCCCGUUCCAAACACUAGUUUCUCCCCAAGGGAUGCACGGAAGUAAAUUCGAAGGAGCAUGAGUUUUGGCAGCUCCCCAAGUAUCUCCAUGGUUUUAUCUUCCUUUAGUUGGCUAUCCCAUAAUGAAAGCUUCACCAGGUGUGUAAGAUUCCUGAACCAGUCAGUCAUCUCUCCUAUAUAUCCGGACAACAUGAGGCUCCUCAGGUGGGGAGGAGGGGAGGAAGAAGAAAUCAACCAUCCAAGUCCUCUAUCCUGGUUUUCACCGGCCCACACAGUGAGAGAACGAAGGGAAGAGAGCUUCUCAAUGGAUUCACAAAGUAUCUUACACUUUUUCUUGGAAGCCCCGGUUGUUCCCGUGGCUAGUUUUCUUAAUCGGGUGAGCUCCCCGAGCUCUUUAACUGCAUUGCUGCUAGUUCUUCUAAUGUCCACACGCUCUAGUAUCUGCAACUCUUUUAAGUUGCCAAUUCCUCUUGGAACCCUCACUCCAUUUCUGCUAGUUCUGGACCAACCACUAGAGCAGCCCAUGUGUAGAUCACCAAUUGCUCUGUCACGGCUUUUUGAAUCAGCUAAUAGGAUUGGCAGGCGCAAUGUGGCAAACAAACAAUGCACUGGUUCAUCUGGAUCCAAGUAGUUAGGGAAAUUCCUAUCACAGCGAAUGGCACGGAGAUCUUCAAGUUUAGUGAUUUGUGUUGGCAGAGUUGUAAUAUAAGUAUACCCUAUGUUCAAAAUUUGCAAGCCAUGCAGUUUUCCAAUGUCACUCGGAAGUGAAUAGAUUGUUGACCAGUAAGUCCUGACAUCCAGAUAUUUCAAGUGACACAAUAGCACUAUAAUAUUUAUACCACCUUGUGUGAUUCUAAAAUUUUCACCCACUAAAUCCAGAACUCGUAGCAUCCUCAACCUAGGUGUAGAAAUUGAAUGUGUGAGAUCCAGAUCCAUACCACAGGACCCCUUAGUAAAUAAAGUUAAUGACCGAAUAUGCCUCCAAUCCAUGCCUUCCUUUUGGCACUUGCUGUCAUGGUAUGCAACAUGACGAAAGUUUUCAUCUGGUACAUUAUUUCCAUUACUCUGGAUUAAGUGGACAAAAUUUUCUUCUCUAGAAAUUGAGACUAUGAUAUCACGCAUGAUGUCAUGAACUCGACAAGUUUUAACACUUCCCUCCAUACCCAACCUUGAUGAUUGAAUCAUACUCCGGCUGAUUAGCUCAUCAAAGUACUCUUUGCCAACCUCAUCAAUGGUUGUCCCAACCUUUGCUCUUACAAACCCUUCUGCUAUCCAUCUACCAACCAGAUGACUUCUUUUGAUUUCAUAAUCUUCAGGGAAAAUGCUGAGAUACAGAAGACAUGGCUUAAGACAUGACGGCAAGUGGUUGUAGCUGAGGGUUACCACCCUCCUUAUUGCUUCAAGGCUUGGGUUACUUUCAAGCUCUGAAGGGAGUUUUUGAUAAAAGUUUUCCCACUCUGCUUUCUUCUUAGUGGCUAGAACACCUCCUAUUGUGAGUAUUGCCAAUGGUAAAUAUCCACACUUCUUUACUACUUUUGUAACUAUUGUGCUCAGGUUCUUGUCUUUGUCCAUUUCUUCAUGUGUUAUGUUUGUCUUUCGUUGUAGCAACUUCAUGGCAUCAUCUAUUUCUAGGGGUUUUAGGUCGUAGAUGAGUAAUUCUGAAGUACAGUGUCUUGCCAAGGCAGCAUCUCUGGUAGUAACAAUUAUCCGACUACCUUUGUUAUUUGACCUAGGAAGUGCAAUACCACUAAUCCAAUUCCAAUGAUUUAUUUCCCAUAGGUCAUCAUAAACAAUAAAGUACCUCUUGUCUUGAAGCUGUGUUCUGAGGUAGCUAGCAAGACGGUCUUCUAGCACUUUCCCGACAAGUUGUUCCAAGAGUUUCUUCAAUGCAUCAGGUCCAAAAAAUUGAC